rnacentral:lncRNA from 1 species
AACAAAUAAAAAUACCAUUGAUAAUUAGGUUACGCUAGAUAAUGAUUUUAGGAAGUGUUUUUAAUCUUUCUAAUACUUGAAAAAUAACAACAGUGGUUUUAGGAAACGUUUCUAGCUUUUUUGGUGGACAAUUGCAAAUUAAAAAAUAAAUAUGUAAAUGGUACCAAUUUUUCUAAAAGCUUUAUUGCAGACUGCUUUAUUGCAGUAAUAUGCCCAAAGUCCACACCAGAAGAGUUACAACCAGACCCUCUUAUUAUACCAUGUUUGUUACAAUGAGGGAAUUGAACAUCAUGAAUCGUCAUUCAAGCAAGGAAAUCAAAGGUUGACAGCUUAUUCUGUUUCUAUAUUUCCCCACUAGAAUCGUGCUUGAAGGUAUUCAACCACCCUCUUGUCCAACUGGAAGGCCCUUGCCAGGAAAUCAGGAUUGAUGGGUGGAUUUGAUCCAAACAUUGAACUGGCUAUGGUGACUAUACCUGGAUUUUGGCUGUUAAAAGCGGCAAUGGCUACUGCAUUAGUGUGCCCAAUGUUGACUUGGAAGUGAAUGAGACUGAAAGGGAACACAAAAACAUCCCCCUUGUUCAGGACUUUGCUAACGAAGCGGUGUUCAGGGUUGGAUGUGAUAAAGCCAACAAAGAGUGUUCCCUCCAAGACAACGAGGAUCUCACUGGCACGAGGGUGAAAGUGAGGAGGGUUUUGACCAUUAGGUUCAUAAUCGAUACGAGCCACUGACACCCCAAGAGCGUUUUCUCCUGGUAAUUGAUCAACAUUUAUAAGAUUGACAAUUGAGCCCACAUAAUUUGAUGUGUUUCCUGGAAUAUUCAGCCCUUGAUACAAGAAAUCCUCGGCCACGGUCAGGUUUGGGUUCUUGCAGAACUUCCCAUUUACAAAUACUGCAUGAAGAAGGAAAAAAGAAAAGAUAUAUCAUUAGUAUCGAACCAUACUCACCAUAUCAAUAAAAAGAGAAGUACUGAAAAUAGCUAUAAGAUCAUUGGUUACUAUAGAAAUACCAGCAUUCUUGGGCUCAUCAACGGCAACACAGGUGUCUUCCAGUGGGCUUGGAUCAUAGGCAGAGGCAAGAAAGGAAGCCAAUGCCAUGAAGGCCACGGUUACCAGGAAACUAACGCUUUUCUUCAUUGUUAGAGUACUGUCUCCAACAAUCACAAUAUUUAUCUUUAGGCGGGGAUAAGAAAUUUAGCAUGGAAAAGAUGUUAAUUUAUAGACCAGAGUCGGUGAGUUAGUCUUUGCAUAAACUCACCAAGUCUUCAAUGGGAAGUUUUUUCUUCUUUCUUUUUUCACUUUCGAGGACAAGCGGUUGCACCAAUACAUGUUGAUUUACGUAGGAUUAGUCAGUAUACAGAUCUUAACCAGAAUAUAAAGCAAUGUACAAUCAGGUGGAGGCAGGUCCAAUUUAAUAUCAAUCUGUAUGAUCCAUACGUUUACAUAUAUAGUAGAGCUUUCUGCUCUUUUAGUAGUGUAUGGACAAGCAAAUAGAAGAUUACAGAGUAGGUGCCAGCUUGGACUAUACAAUGACCCACCCCUAUCAAACAUGGUUACUCCAUGAGACUUGUGUAGGUUCAGUUUAAUGAGUAUUUAUAUAGCUUAAUUCACCAUUCGAAGUGUUGAGAGAUUGGCUGAUGAGAUUGAAUAUGUAGCCAAGUUCUGAGUUUCUAGCUCAUGUGCCUUCCACUGAGUGAAAAGUCCUUGGAUAAGCUCUGGGGUUGCCUCAGUUCAAUGAAAAAUUGGGAUAAAUUCAAAGACUUUCUGCUAUAUGCUCACUAGGCUUUCCUCAGUUACAAAAGCUUUGACUAUGAUUUUUAUGCUUGCAGCCUUCCCUGUCUGAGCGGUUGGCUCAAAAGUUACUACUACAAUUAUUAUGGUUUGUGAGAGAAAGAGAUCUUAACAAACACCUUUAAACUAAGACUUUUUAAUUAGUCGUCUUUAACAAGCAAGUCUGUAUUUUCUGGUGAGAAGCAAGAAACCUUACAUUAGCAAAAUACCAAUUAAUUAGAUGAAGUCCUUCGGCUAAUCUAUGCCCUAUAAGUAAGGUAAUUAAGCAGAUCGAUACACUUUCCAAAUCUUCAAUGGAUGUCAUUUUUCAAAUUGAAAGGUUGAACCAUUCUGAGAAUUUUCAAAUUGGACAGGCCAUCUGUAAUCAGAUUGUGAUUAGUGUCAUGACCCAUUAGAUCUUUAUAAGAAGUUGGGGUUAGAGGUUUGUUCACAGUGGAUGUCAUGAGAUUUCUGGGCUUUCAUUUCCAUUCUUUCCUCACUAUUUCAUGACACUGAUGCUUCUCCCACCAUUCAUAUGGUUUGACUCGGACAUCUUAAUUAGUUUUUUCGAUCUCAGUUGAUGGGGGCCGGUUAUACUGGGAUAAUCUAGAGAAGCAAAUUAAUGGCAUCUUUCCAUUAUUGGAUUAUAUGAGGUUGUUGGCCAUGGUUCAAAGUCAUGGUAUCGGACACCAACUCGGUAAGUCUUGAGGCACAUGGGUCUCAACGUCGCAGAUCAAUAUCGGGUGAUACACAAAAAAUUAUAGUUUAAAAGCCCAAAACAAUUUAAAAAGAUUACAAAAAUAAAUACAAAUAAAUGAAGUUAAAAAUUAAUAAAAUAAACUUUUAUUAUAUAUAAAAUUAUUCAAAUUAUGAUAAAAACAUACCUUCGUAAUGAUUUAUAAAAAUAUAAAAAAAUUAAUUUAAUCACUUAAUAUUAAAUAUGCAUUAUUAAAGAUGAAAAUAAUAAAAAGUGAAUUUAUUGUUUAUAAUUUUUUUUAAAUUAAAUAUUUUAAAUUUUUAAAAAAUAUUUUCAAUAUUUUAAAAAAUACAUCUAGGAAUCAUCUUUGAAAAAAGUAAACAUCAUUUUUCUUAUCAAAUAUAUACUAAAUGAAACAAUUAUAAAAAUGGAGAAUUUUUAUUUGAAUGAGCAUAUUUGAAUAUAAUAUAUUUUUUCUAUACAUCUAUUCAUUUUAAUUGACUUUUUAUAUUAAUAUUUAUUUUCUAUUUUAUUUAUGUAAACCUAAAUAUUCAUUAUUAAUUUACCAUUAUCCUAAACCCAUCAAAUUUUCAUUAUCCAUUUAAAUACAAUUAUUCACCACAUAUUCAUUAACUACUUAUUUGUAAUCCUAUCAAAUACCCAUAAACCAUUCACCUCGCAAACACGUAUUUCCUUUUUUUGCACAAUACCCAUUUCCCCUCUAAAACAACACUUUGAGCUCUCUACUUCUUUGCACAAUACCUAUAUUUGAAGGCUAAAAAAAUAACCCCAUGAAGAUACAAGAGGAUGGAGAUGCAAAUAGAAGGAUGAAGAUGCACAAGGUUUGAAGACUCUAAACUCUCCAUACUUCUUCACUUUCAUGAGUUUUGAUUAUCUUCUCUUAUCCACCAUUUCUGCUCCAAUAUUACUAUUUUUUUUCCAUCACCCAUCACCCAUCACCCAAAGAGAUUAGUUUGAAUAUAAUAUUAGGGUUAUCUCAAAGUUUCUUUGUGAUUUAACAAGUUUAUUCAUGAGUCAACCAAAUAUUGGACUCAGGAAUCAGUCCAAUACGGUUCAUGAGCUCUUUAUUUAUUUGUACAAUACCCAUUUUUGAAGGCUCACAACACAACCCUACAAAGAUACAAGAUGAUGAAGAUGCAAAUACAAGGAUGAAAUGCAAAGGGUUUGAAGACUCUGAACUAUUUAUAUUUUUUCACUUUCAUGGGUUUCGAUCUUCUUCUCUCAUCCACCAUUUUCGCUACAAUAUUACUAUUUUUUUCCAUUACCCAUCACUCGAAAAGCUUAGUUUGGACACAAUCUUUAGGUUAUCUCAAAGUUUCCAUGCGAUUCAACAAGUUUAUUUCAUUAGAUAACCAAAUAUUGGACUCAGAUAUCAAUUCGAUACCGGUCAUGGCCAAGACGGAUGUAACUCAGUCGAGUCAAACUAGUCUUGACUAAGAUUUUGAACCCCAUUUGAGCUCUCUAUUUCUUUGCAUGUACAAUGCCCAUUUUUGAAGGCUCACAAAAUAGCCCUAUGAAGAUACAAGAGAAUGGGGAUGAAAAGGGUUUGAAGACUCUGAACUCUUCAUACUUCUUCGCUUUCAUGGGUUUCGAUCUUUUUCUCUCAUCUACCAUUUCUACUCCAAUAUUACCAUUUUUUUUCCAUCAUCUACCACCUGAAGAGCUUAGUUUGGAGAUAAUCUUGGGGUUAGCUCAAAGUUUCUUUGUGAUUUAACAAGUUUAUUCAUGAGUCAACCAAAUGUUGGACUUAGGUAUUGGUUCGACACCAAUCAUGGCUAAGGCGGAUAUGACUGAGUUGAGUCGUACAAGUCUCGAUCAAGAUUAUGAGCCCUGUUUGAGCUCUCUAUUUCUCUACACAAUACCCAUUUUUGAAGACUCACAAAAUAGCCUUAUGAAGAUACAAGAUAAUGGAAAUGCAAAUAUAGGUGUAGGACCUCAGGCGCUACCAACUCUCCUAAAAGCAAUUGCUGUUAGGAAAGACGCAUACCCUAACCUUAUAGUGCAUUCACCCAAGCGCCCAUGGAGAACACAAGGGGAGUUUAUGGAUACGACCAACCUUCCGAUCUAUCAGCAAUCUCCCAUACCACUUGUAGGACCUCAGACGCUACUAACUCUCCUAAAAGCAAUUGCUGUUAGGAAAGACGCAUACCCUAACCUUAUAGUGCAUUCACCUAAGUUCCCACGACAAACAUAAGAAGAGUUGAUGGACGCGGCCAACCCUCUGAUCUGCCAACAAUAGGGAUGAAAAUCCAAAGGGUUUGAAGACUCUGAACUUUCCAUAUUUCUACACUUUCAUGGGUUUCGAUCUUCUUCUCUCAUCCACCAUUUUCACUCCAAUAUUACCAUUUUUUUUUCUAUCAACCAUCACCCAAAGAGCUUAGUUUGGACAUAUUCUUAAGGUUAUCUCAAAGUUUCUUUGUGAUUUAGCAAGUCUAUUCAUGAGUCAACUAAAUAUUAGACUUGAGUAUCGAUCUAGUACUGGUCAUGGCCAAGGCAAAUAUGACUCGGUCGUGUCAUACCAAUCUAGAUCAAGAUUUUGAACCUUAUUUGAGCUCUCUAUUUCUUUGUACAAUACCCAUUUUUAAAGGCUCACAAAAUAACCCUAUGAAGAUACAAGAGGAUAAAGAUGCAAAUAUAGGGAUGAAGAUGCAAAAGGUUUGAAGACUCUGAACUCUCCAUAUUUCUUUGCUUUCAUGAGUUUAACUCUUCUUCUCUCAUCAACCAUUUUUGCUCCAAUGUUACCAUUUUUUUCACCAACCAUCACCCGAAGAGCUUAGCUUGGACAUAAUCUUUAGGUUAUCUCAAAGUUUCUUUGUGAUUUAGCAAGUUUGUUCAUGAGUCAACCAAAUAUUGGAUUUAGGUAUCAGUCUGAUACCGAUCAUGGUUGAGGUAGAUAUGACUCGGCUGAGUCUUACCGAUUUCGACCAAGAUUUUGAACCCUGUUUGAGCUCUGUAUUUCUUUGCACAAUACUAAUUUUUGAAGGCUUAUAAAAUAACCUUACGAAGAUACAAGAUGAUGGAAAUACAAAUACAAGGAUGAAGAUGCAAAGGGUUUGAAGAGUUUGAACUCUCCAUACUUCUUGAUUCGUUCCCAAUUGGUGUCUCAGCUGAUUCAUGUCCAGCUGGUGCUCUUUGAUUGAGAGAGUAAUCAACAAAAUUUAUAACCUAUAUCACUAUGCAUUAGGAUAGCUUUAGCUAAUAUAGCAUAGUGGCUCUAGGAUCGUUCACUGGGAAGGGUUUUCAACUCACAACUGAUACCAAUUCAAAGUUAAAUUGGUACUUUUUCAUUUCAAGGUUAGCUUAAGAAAAAAACACAAACUUUGUUUAAAUGAGGUUUUGUUUAAAGGUAACUAAAAAGAAAGUAAUGGAAAUUACUUAUGAAGAAAAACAUUCCUUGGAGGUUUAGGUUCACAGGGGAGGUUUCUUAUGCAAAAACAGAGCUCCGGUCAUUUGGUUCAUUUCCUCGCAUUAGAGAAUUAACAUAUAGUCAAUUCUCUAACCGGUGCUGCACAGAUGUAUCCUUUAAAUGGAUUUCAACUCUAAUUCCCUCUCACUGAUGCAACUUGCAAUGGCUCGUGCCUCUCACCUAGCAUUUUCCAUUCAAUGUGAUCUUUAACUUUGGACUUCUCUUCUCAAGCUCGCAAGAGAUAACUAACGGAUGUCUCCUUGGAGUCCAAAAGCUUACCAAGUGUUGGCAAUUCUAGAAAAUCCUACCUCCAAGUCACUUCCCAAAAGCCCGCAAGAGAUAAACAAGUGCAUCUCCAUGGACGGAGAUCACGUGCCUUACCAAGUGUUGGCUUAAGUGAAUUGAAGGUAUUUUAAGUUAACUAAAAACAUAUAAAUCAUUAAAGGAUCACACUUUCUCUUCAUUAAUGACUGAAACCACAAAGCUACUAAUUCUUGCACUUGGAACCUUUCCCGGCAACCUUAACUCCAAGGAACUAAAAGUCUAGCCACUCAUUCUAUGAGGAAACUUCCUCAGAGCUUGUUUGGCUAGUAAGAAAACUAACGAGAAAACAAUUAUAUGAAGGAAAAACAGAGCAAGUGCUCUAUAAAAUAUAUUUCUUUUUUCUGCCGAUUACAUAAUAUAUCUUUGUAAAGAAAAUUACAAACUAUAUAUAUGAGGUUAUUCACCCUUUGUACUUACUUAAAGACUAAGGAAUCCUAUGAUAGGUGGGUUACAAGGAGACUUUGGGAGGUGGGUUACAAGGAGACUUUGGGGAUUUAGACAACAAAUAUUUAAAGCAAAAUAUCUCAGGAUGUCGGUCGGAAAUAUCAAGAAGCUUCAGGAGAACACCGUGGCACUGUAUACUGAGAGAAAAACUCUCCUGGUAAGCGCUAUCAGAGGAUCCGGAUAAGUUUGACCGGAGAAGUUGAAACGUCCUCCUCUCCCAUCCGGCUGCGAGAUAUCCAGAUGUAAAAUGUCGGCGCACAGAAUUCCGGAUGUGAAAUGUCGACGCACGGAAUUCCUCCCCUGGUGGACUAAGCUAUGUUGCGCAAGGGGGACCGUCUGCGUGUGCAAGGUGUAGGGACCCCUCUCCCGGAUGACACGGAAUGCGCAAGGCUAUCCGGAUCAACUCCAUCCGGAUUCCCCAAGAGGACAUGUGGCGUGCUCCCCUAUUCAGACUCCCUCAGGUUGAAGCACACAGCACUCGUGAUCAUCACACCCGGACGAUAGCAUAUCCUAUCCGGAUAUGUUGUCCGGAUCAUUGACUUCCGCCGUCAUCCGAUGGUGUGUCCGGACAUCUUUUACUCCUUGCAUUCCAGAUUUGCUUAUGGAAAAGAACCUCAAAGCUUUGGUUCUUCAUAUUUCUGAGCUUUCCAUUGCUUUGCCAUGGAUUCCAAAGAACUCUCCUCAAUCACGGAUUGCUUUGGUGAUAAAAAAGCUAUCAAAACACCAAAACUUAACACAAUUUGAUUAGAAUUGAUUGCAAGGGUCCUUAAUAUGUUAAUUGGGUUAAAAUGUGAUAACUACUACUCAAAAGUGUUUAAAAGAGUUUAUUACAAGCUAUCAAAUAGCACUUUUUGAGUAGUAAUCACUUCUUCACUACCAUGGGUUUCGAUCUUCUUCUCUCAUCCACCAUUUUCCCUCCAAUAUUACCAUUUUUUUUCCAUCACCCAUUACCCGAAGAGCUUAGUUUGGACAUAAUCUUAGGGUUAUCUCAAAGUUUCUUUGUGAUUUAACAAGUUUAUUCAUGAGUCAACUAAAUAUUGGACUUGGGUAUCGGUUCGAUAAUAGUCAUGGCCUAAGAUUUUGAACCCUUUUUUAGCUCUCUAUUUCUCUGCGCAAUACCCAUUUUUGAAGGCUCACAAAAUAACCCUACAAAGAUAUAAGAUGAUAGAGAUGCAAAUACAGGGAUGAAGAUGCAAAGCGUUUGAAGACUCUGAACUCUCCAUACUUCUUCACUUUCAUAGGUUUCGAUUUUCUUCUCUCAUCCGUCAUUUUAGCUCCAAUAUUACCAUUUUUUUGCAUGACCUAUCACUCGAAGAGCUUAUUUUGGACAUAAUCUUAGGGUUAUCUCAAUUUUUUAUUUUAUUUUUGUGAUUCAACUAGUUUAUUCAUGAGUUAACCAAAUAUUAAACUCGGGUAUUGGUCUAGUACCGGUCAUGGUUGAGGCGGAUAUUACUCGGCCGAGUCGUUUUGAUCUCAACUGAGAUUUUGAACCCCAUUUAAGUUCUUUAAUUCUUUUCACAAUACCCAUUUUUGAAGGCUCACAAAAUAACCCUACGAAGAUACAAUAUGAUGAAGAUGCAAAUAUAGGGACGGAGAUGCAAAUGGUUUAAAGACUUUGAGCCCUCCAUAUUUUUUCACUCUCAUGGGCUUCGAUUUUCUUCUCUCAUCCACCAUAUACGCUCCAAUAUUACCAUUUUUUCCAUUACGCAUCACCCGAAAAGCUUAGUUUGGACAUAAUCUUAGGGUUAUCUCCAAGUUUCUUUUUUAUUCAACAGGUUUAUUCAUGAGUCAACCAAAUAUUGGACUUGGGUAUUAGUUCGGUAUUGGUCAUGGCCGAGGUGGAUAUGACUUGGCCGAGUCGUACCGGUCUUAAUUGAGAUUUUGAACCCUAACUGAACUCUCCAUUUAUUUGCACAAUACCCAUUUUUUUAAGGCUAACAGAAUAAGCCUACGAAGAUACAAGAGGAUUGAGAUGCAAAUAUAGGAAUGAAGAUGAAAAGGGUUUGAAGACUCUUAACUCUUUAUACUUUUUCACUUUCAUGGGUUUCAAUCUUCUUCUCUCAUCCACCAUUUUUGCUCCAAUAUUACCAUUUUUUUCCAUUACCCAUCACCCAAAAAGCUUAGUUUGGACAUAAUCUUAGAGUUAUCUCAAAGUUUCUUUUUUAUUGAACAAGUUUAUUCAUGAGUUAACCAAAUAUUGGACUCGGGUAUCGAUCCAAUACCGAUCAUGGCUGAAGCGGAUAUGACUCGAUCAAGUCGUACGAGUCUCAAUCGAGAUUAUGAACCCUAUGUGAGCUCUUUAGUACUCUACACAAUACCCAUUUUUGAAGUCUCACAAAAUAGUCCUACAAAGAUGCAAGAGGAUAGAGAUGCAAAUAAAUGGAUGGAAAUCCAAAGGGUUUGAAGACUCUGAACUCUCCAUAUUUCUUCACUUUCAUGGGUUUCGAUAUUUUUCUCUUAUCCACCAUUUCCACUUCGAUAUUACUAUUUUUUUCCAUCACCCAUCACCCUAAGAGCUUAGUUUGGACAUAAUAUUAGGGUUAUCUCAAAUUUUCUUUGUGAUUCAACAAGUUUAUUCAUAACUCAACCAAAUAUUGAACUCGAGUAUCGGUCCGAUAUCGGUCAUGGUGGAGGUAGAUAUGAGAACAACCAAAUAUUCAAUUUUUUUUUAAAUUUAUAAUGUGCAUUUACUACAAAGCAAUCUUUAAAAUAAAAUAAAACUACCAUUGAUAAUUAGGUUACACUUGACAGCAAUUUUAGGAAGUGUUUUUAAUCUUUCUAAUACUUGAAAAAUAACAAUAGUGGUUUUAAGAAACGUUUCUAACUUUUUUAAUGGACAAUUGCAAAUUAGGAAAUAAAUAUGUAAAUGGGUACCAAUUUUUCUAAAAGCUUUUAAACUUUUUUCUAUUUUGGGUUAUAAUGUGUAUCAUGUUAUUAACAAUAUUUUUGCUUUUAUUUCAUGUCAAAUAAUAUAAUUUUUAACUUUAGAAGAGUCACAAACAAUAUUUGUGUUUACCCUAAAAUGCUUUUUCCUCGUAUGCAUUUCAGGGUGUAGGGAUUCUCAUGGAAAAUACUUCCCAUGGCUGGCAUGGGAGUUGAAGAAUUGUUGCAUGUGCAGCCAAAGGUAAAAGAGGGAUUCAUGUGUUACCUGAAUUGCAUUUUAUCUGAUUUACAAUUUGAUUAUAUGUAUGUUUGUGCAGUCUGGUGCUUGUGUUGCUCAUUUCUAUAUGUGCUAAAUGGAGGAUUUCUUUUUCAUCCAAAACCCUAGUAUUGCAGGAGAUAGUUGCUUUAUGGGUCAGUCUUCUUACCAAAUCUUAACUCUAUGCUGACUUCUUUUUCUUUGAUUUCCUACUCUUUGUUCUGCAUAUGUGUUUUCAACCUAACUAUUUUCAUAGGGAUCAAUGGAAAUUAUGAUUUUUCAAAGAAUAUUGAAAGUAGAAGAAAAUUAAGCAUUUGUGAAAUAUGGAGGAGCAAAAUGAUUUCUUAGUUUUAGCACAUCAGUUUACAGAAGAUAUUGUAAUUUCACAUGAUGAAAAUGAAGAGGGGAACCCAGAUUUCCAAUGGAGGGACUUUUUGGGCUUGGGGGACUAGAAAUGCAAGAUAUAAGUGCAAAUAUUGGAGUUACCCAACCAUAAAUCUGUCCGAAAAACUCGCUUUAAGGGGAGGAUGUUCCUCAUACACAAGAUGGAUUUAGCAUGGGGAUAAUUAGAUCCUAGAUGUUUGUAAGACUCAAUUCUAUCCAGUUUGCGUCCUUUUGGGGCUCCAUCAUGUGGGUUCUUUCCCCUUUUCGGUCAUCUUAAACUGGCUCUGAUGGUUGUUCGAUUGGUAACUCCGAAAGAUCAGAAUAGCUGUAUCUGCUAAGAUAAUGGAUGAAAUGAUAUGCUAACUUGGCAACUCGAAAAUAAUGGCCCGUGUCUUCCUCCUAUUAGGGUAUAUUGAAUUCUAAUUCAAGAAAAUUUUGCAGUAUUCAGGGUGGAAGCAGAUCACUUAAUCUUUUGUAGUAGGGAUUUAAGAGGUUUAGGCAGAUGCUUGAAGGUUUAUUCAUACUUAUUGUGAAGCAGAUCAUCUGGAAAACUGGGGAGUUAUCAUGCUGAAGACAUUUUUCUCCUUAUUGAAGUUUUCCAAACAAACCCUUCCAUCUAGGGUGAAUUAUUGGUUUCAUUUGGCUGAGUAGGAGAUUUCAGAUAGAAGCCAUCAAUCCUGGUCCUCAAGGGUGGAGUGGUAUGAUUACCAUCUAUGUAAAGACUUUGAAAUUUUUUUGUCAUUAACAAGCAUUUGUUGAUAAAUUUGCUUACCAUCUUCCACAAAUGAAAUUAUGGUUUUGAGUGUAUAAUUAUAACUGCUUAUGAUGAAAGGGAAAAACACCGACAAAGGACUCACUGGUUUUUUCUGCACAAAUGGGAGCAAUCUGUUAUUCUGGUUUCUUAUUACACACAAGCAAAACGAUCAUUUAUAGUUGUAAAUAGAGAGCUCUUCUUCUUACCUAGACUGAAAGUGACGGAGGUUUACUAUUUUAAGUUCAGUGACAUGUCCACAUUUUCUUCCUUUGCCUUACGAAGUGUUUCAAAUCCCAUUUCUUUCCAGACAUUCUUUAGCCUUUGAGCAACCGAAGAGAUAAGGGGACGCUUUUGGGGGUUCUCUUCUGUGCACAUCAUCCCUGCAUCGAGCAUGUGGAUACAGCAUUGCUCAAGCUUAUGUAAAGCACCACUCCCCUCUUCCAAAUAUGCUUCGUGCUUCAGUGAGAUGUCUACAAUAUCCAAAACUUGAUUUGGAAAAGCAGAACACACCCAUUUCCUUAGAUCAAGUCCAUCUGAAAACAUUUCAUUCGUUGGUCUCUUCCGUGUUAUCAUCUCUAACAUCAUCACUCCAAAACUGUAUACAUCUCCUCUUGUUGAGACAUCGAUCCCCUGCCCAUAUUCUGUGUACAAGCAAUAGGAACUAUUAGCUGAAUCACUGUACUUUUAUUUAUAUCCCUUCAAAUUAGGAUAGUCUGUUUAAAGAAAGAGACAUGGAUAGAUGCAGUUGGUUCAUAUUAACUAUCUGAAUAUCACAAGAAUGCAAGCAUCCUUCUUUUUCAUUUAGAUGUAAAUGCUUCUCAUUGGAAAAGCGAUUAGGAAACUAUCUGAAUAUCACUGUACUUAAAGAAAAGCGGGAGAAUAACCAACAAGACAUACCAUGUUGUUAAACAAAUUUAUCAUAAUGGUAUAUGAGGAAACACACAAAACCCUAUUUUUUCUUCUCGACUUCUAUCCUAUUAUUAACAGUUAGUUCUCUAGAAUAUAUGACCAUUGGGUAGGCAGUCAAAUGAAUGAAAACUAGACUAGUUUGAAGUUCAUGUGAGAUGAAAGAUUGGCAUUCAUGAUUAAAAGUAAUUAUCUAGUCUGAUAACUUAUCAUUUACUUCUCAGAUUUGAAGGUAGGUCGCUAACUUUUCCAAGAAGAUUCAAAGGGAUUAUGAAGCAUAGGAUUGAAGAUUUAUAUAAGGUAAUCAAAUGCAUACCUGGGGGGAUAUACCCGACAGAUCCUCGUAGAAAAGCAGUUGUGGUAGUAACAUGUCCUCUUGGUUUGUCACCUGAAAUGAGCUUUCCAAUACCAGAAUCUCCUACAUGAGCCACCAUAUCAUUGUCCAAAAGAACAUUUUGUGGUUUCAGGUCACAGUGUACAACUUGAACAGGACAACCCUCAUGAAGAUACUCCAAGCCAUUUGCAACAUCUAUUGCUAUUCCCAUUCUUUCCCUCAAUUUUAAUUCACUACCUCCUUCAUCUGACCCACCAGGGUAAAGAUGCUGUUCCAAGUUCCCAUUGCCUAUAUACUCGAGAACAAUAGCCUUGAAUCCUGAAUUCCAGGUCGAUCCUAUCAUUCUAACCAGAUUCCUAUGUCUAAUUUCAGACAGUAUUUGACACUCCCUUUUAAAACUUCUGUAACCCUGAACACGCUCUUCUUGCAGAACCUUAACUGCCACAACAGUUUUUCCAUCAUUGAUGAUAGCUUUAUACACCCUACCAAAACUUCCUUCCCCUAAUAGAUUAGCCUCAUCAAAACCGCCAGUAGCAAUUUCGAUUUCCCUUUCAGUUAAAGUUUGGGUUCCAUGAUGGGUUGGGGAAUACAUUAGAAUUGCAGUCUCCGCACCUGCACUCCUAUUUUUGAAGAAGAAACGACGAACAGUGAGGGCGAUCAGCACAAAGAGAAGCAGAGAACAAGUUAAUAUUGCAAACAGGUAAUAAAUCCAUUUCCUUUUCUUGUGCUUUUGUUUCAGAAUUUCACAUGGAUGGAGACCCAUAAGUUUGGUGCCACCACAGAGCCCCAUAUUCCCCAUGAAUGAGCUGCUUCCUAGAUUUUUAUACCUCCCACUAUUUGGAACCUCUCCUGUUAAUCUGUUAUACGAUAAAUUGAGAUUCUUGAUCUUCUGGCUGUCACCAAUCCAGAUUGGAACAUUUCCUGUUAAAUUAUUGAAAGCCAAGUCCAGAUAUCCUAGAUCAAUGAUUUGCUUCAGGGACUCUGGGAUUGUACCUUCAAGCAUGUUGUGAGAGAGGUUCAGAUACUCCAUUGAAAUGCAUCUUCCAAUCGAACUUGGUAUCACUCCGAAGAAUUUAUUCGCUGACAAGUCAAUUGCCAGCACAGAUGCCAGAUUUCCAAUACUAGCAGGUAGUUCUCCUUCAAGAUUGUUGUUCGAAAGGUUGAGUGAAAGAGCCAGGUUUGAGAAAUGACCAAUUUCUGUGGGAAGAGACCCUUGUAAGUUGUUAAAAGACAAAUCAAGAAGCAUUAGAAGAGAACAUUGGGUGAGUUCGAUGGGAAUUUUCCCUGUGAGGUGGUUGUGAGACAAGUAAAGAUAUCUCAACUGUGACAGAUUACCAAGAGAAGAUGGGAUUGUCCCACUAAUCAAAUUAUCACUAAGUUCCAGUAAACCAAGGUUAGCCAUCUGCCCAAGUUCAUCUGGAAUUGGCCCAAGAAGUUUGUUUCUUCCCAAGUGUAAUCUCUGCAACUGCCUAAGCUUCCCAAUUGUUGCAGGAACUCCAUUCAAAAAAUUAUACCACAGGUCUAGAGUCACAAGGCCGCUUAGAUUUCCAAUUUCAGCUGGUAGGUCUCCUGUUAAUUUGUUGUUUCGAAGAUUCAAGUAGUAGAGAUCUUUGGAAAGACUGCCAAUUGAAGCCGGUAAACUUCCUGCAAACAGACAUGCCCCUAAGUGCAGUUUCUGUAGACGUGAACAAUUAGUGAGAGGAGUUAGAAAACUGAGGGAAGAGUUGUUGGAACCGCUCACCAGGUUAUUGCUAUGAAGGUAAAGUCUCUCAAGUUUCUUCAACUUCCCCAACUCAGGAGGGACUUCCCCCUCUAACUGGUUGAGGCUAAGAUCAAGCAGUGUCAGCUGAGAAAGAUUGGACAGGGUCACUGGAAUUUUCCCAGAAAGUUGGUUUUCUUGGAAGUACAAUCUCUGCAAGUUAUGGAGCUUUGACCCCAAUUCGAAAGGGAUUGUUCCCGUUAACCGAUUCUCAAUCAGUGUAAUGUGACGCAGGGCAGUGCAAUUACUGAUGGAUGCAGGUAUGCUUCCUUCCAAAAAGUUGAUGUGGAGGUACAAUAUCUCCAGCUUUGUUAAUGCUCCUAGCUCCUCUGGAAUCCUUCCUGUGAAGUAAUUAACUUGCAAUUCUAAAUCUGUCAGCUUUGUCAGAUUCGAAAGAAACGAUGGUAUAGCUCCAGUGAGGCUGUUCUCAGAGAGACAAAGGUAUGUCAAGUUUGUCAUUUGGCCUAGUACAGCAGGAAUGCUUCCAGUCAGAUUGUUAUAGUCCAAGUCUAUUGUCUCCAGGCUCCAGCAGCCUUGUAUUGAGGCUGGAAUAUUGCCCCCAAGCUUAUUACCACUCAUGUUUAUGAAUGUUAACUCAGAAAGCUCUCCAAUGGUAGCUGGGAUCUCUCCAUACAAGCUGUUGGCUUGCAAAGAGAGGGUGGUGAGAUGGGAUAGAUUGGAUAUGUAUGGUGAGAUAACUCCCUGUAAGCGCAUGUUUAUGAGCUCAAUGGCUAUGACCCGGUUCUUAAGUUGCUGGUGGCAUGUAAUCCCUGUCCAGUUGCAGAAGAACCUGGUUUCAUUCCAAUCUUGGAGAUGACCAUCUGGAUCACCUGUUAUGCCUUGUUUGAAUUUGAGCAGAGAUUGACAAUCAGUGGAGUUUUUGCAGAGGAAUGUGGAAGUUGAUAGUAGAGCAAGACAACUAAGAGAGAAAAACACUGCCACAGCAACGGGAUUGUUCUGAUUGUAUGCCAUUCUCUCUCUCUCUCUCUCUCAGUGUGUGUGUACAGCUUUUGGAAUUCGAUGUUAGAUUUCAGGCCAAAAGUUUUUUUUCUCACUUGUUAGGUAAGAUGGGAUGAACAAUCAAUUUUCUUAAAAGUUUAAACUUAACGUGUAUCAUACUUUUCAACACUCGACGGGAUCAAUGGUAGAAGUUUAAAUAGAUGGGCUCAGUUGCUCAAAUGGUUCAGACAACUUGGCCUAGUGAGGGGCAGGUGGUGAGCCCUCAUUUAUCACUGGGACCAUAGAGCAAGACUUUUUGGUAUUGCCAUCACCUGUCUUAACUUCAUUCAACCUCUUCAAUGCUGUUUGACAUUUUCUUCCGUGACAGAAUUAAUAGCUAUGCAGUUUCCCAAAAUUUGCUCCGAACCCAUUGUCAUUUUUUUUUCUUCAUAUUUUAUAUUUUGUAUUUAUUUAUUUUUAUAUUAUUAUCAUUUAUUAUUUAUUUUAUUUUUCUUUCUUUUUCUUUUAUUUAUUUUAUUUUCUUCUUCCUUUCUUCCUCCAUGCAUGCACUACCAUUGUCACUUUUUUCUCUUUCUAAGGAUUUGCAAUUGACUCUAUUGAUAUUUUGUUGGUUGAGCAUGGAUUUAUGACUUAUAACACACACAUGGAAGGUUGAAUUUCAUGAAAGAAAAUGAGGGUUAGAAAAAUAAUAAAUGGGAAACAUUGAGCUUAUUGUGGGUUUGAUUUGGUACAAAUUCUUUUGUAUAUAUCUACUUGGGUAUACAAUUGAAUAUUUAAUUUAGGAAAAUUCAAAAAAUUGUUUUCAAUGAAAUUAAAAAAAAAAAUUAAUAACAAUUGCCUGGAAAUUUAUUUAUUUAAUAAACAUUGUUUUGUCAAUAAAAUUGUCAUCAAAGUUAAUUUUUAAUAAAAUUAUCUAAAAAAGUGAAUUUAUAAAUGAAAUUCUAUUUCCUUAAUUUAAAUGGGAUAAAAAGUAAUUUUUGUAAAUUAAAGUCUUAAAUAAUUUUUUCAUAAUAAUAGAACGAGAAUCUUUUUAGCAAAUUGAACUUAUACAAAUUAUUUUCUUUUCGUAAAUAAAGUUUGUAAAGAAAUUAUUUUCUUUAUAAAUAAAAUCAAAAUGAAAUAUUUUUACAACUAAAAGAAUAUUUAAUUGAGCAAGUGAUGAACUAUUUGCUUGUUUAAGUAACCUUUUGAAAUGUUCCCUCAGCAUAAUGGUAGUACAAUAAGAGGGUUUAUUAUGUACUUCUUUCUAUAUGGACUUUGGGUAUAAUAAAAACAAUGCUUUCUCUCUCUCUCUCUCUCUCUCUCUCUCUCUCUCUCUCUCUCCCCCUAGUCCACAGGUUUACACCCUCAGCUUUACCCUGGACUAAGUCCUGAAACCCAAAGAUUAUGCAGAAUCAAACUCUUAAAGUCUACAGCAUGAGUUGAAGAAAAAAGGAUGAGUAUUUAAUGUAGUAGUUGAGGAAUGAUUCAAUGUUUGAAAUAUAAAAAAUGCAAUCCAUUGAACACUUAGCUGGACUAUCUGCUUAUUGUAUACAUAAAACAUAGACUAAUCCGAAGACUUCUAUGUUAUAACUUUAGAAUUUUCAUAUCCAAGGUUUUCACUUCUUUCUCAUCAGAAGACAAAGAUUGUAACUGUUGCAGAAAACCUAACAACCUAGUUUAUUUGUUAAGGUCCCUUUCUCUCAUAAGACAUAAAUAUAUUCACUAUCAAACACCAUAAUGAUAAUAAUAAUGAUCUUCUUUUUGCUGUAUAUACACUACUUUAGAGUUUGUUCAAUGUUUGGUUACCAAGAAAACAGAAGGACUGAUCUGCUGCAUUAAAAGGUUAAGUAAUCCUGAAUACUUUCACUUCAUUUUGCCAUAUGUAGUUCUUCCAUUAGCUAGCCAUUUGGAACUAAAUCUUGUGGAGAACUUUUCAUAUUGGAGAUGGAUAUGAAAUUGGAUCUGCCUCCACCUCAUUGAACUUCACUUUCAACAUAUGCAUUGAGAAUAUUUAAGUUAAGAUCAGUAUACUAACUAACCCUACAUAAAUUAACAUGUAUUGGUGAAAACACUUAUCCUUGUAAGUGAGAAAGCAAAAAAAAAAAAAGAAAAAAAAAAAAGACCUACCCAUUGAAGACCAUCUAUAAAUUGACAUGUUUCUCAUGCAAAAAUUUUCACCCCUCACCUAAACACAAAGAUUUGUGAUUGUUUGGAGACAGUACUCUAACAAUGGAGAAAGGUGUUAGUUUCCUAGUAACUGUGGCCCUCAUGGCAUUGGCUUCAUCUUUUGCCUCUGCCUCUGAUCCAAGCCCACUGCAGGACACUUGCGUUGCCAUUGGGGAACCCAAGAAUGCUUGUAUUUCUUUAGUAACCAAUGAACUUGUCACUAUUUUCACUGAUCUUUCCAAUUCAAUAUUGGGCACAUUAAUGCAGUAGCCAUUGCUGGUCUAAGCAGCCAAAAUCCAGGUGUAAUCACCAUAUCCAAUGCAGUGUUUGGAUCAAAUCCACCAAUCAAUCCUGAUUUCCUGGCAACGGCCUUCCAGUUGGACAAGAAGGUGGUUGAAUUCCUUCAAGCACGAUUCUAGUGGGGAAAUAGAGAAAAUGAAGAAGCUAUGAACCUUUGAUUUGCUUGCUUGAAUGACUAUUUGUGAUGUUCAAUUACCUCAUUACAAUAAGAGGGGUUUAUUACUUUAUUUUGUAGCUCUUUUGGUGUGGACUUUGGUCCUAAUAUUAAAAUAAAGCAGUUUGUCUGUUAUGCAUCUUCUUCUGUCUCCAUCUCAAUAUUUGUCUUAAAAAAUCUUAUCUUGUGAAAAAACAACUCUCAGUUGAUUGAUUAACCUGCAUGUGCAGAAUGUUUAUUAAGAAUGAAUACUUAACUAGUUGUAAAACAGUACUACUGCUACUUCCAGCAUACUGCUGGCAGAAUUGGUGAUGAAGGAAUGAACAUUGAGGCAACAACUGCUGAGAAUUCAAAAAUAAAAAAGAUGCCAUUUUGCUUCUCUAUAUUUUCCCAUUAUAACUCAUCAACCGAGAUCGAAGAAACUAAUUAAGAUGUCCAAGUAAACCAUUUGAAUGGUGGGAGAAGCAUAAGUGUCAUGAAAAUUGUGAAGAAAGAAUGGAAAUGAAAACCCAGAAAUCUUAUGACAUCUACUGUAGACAAAUUAAUGUCUUAAAUAAUCUUUUCAUAAUAAUAGAACGAGAAUCUUUUUAGCAAAUUGAACUUAUACAAAUCAUUUUCUUUUCAUAAAUAAAGUUUAUAAAGAAAUUAUUUCCUUUAUAAAUAAAAUCAAAUUGAAAUAUUUUUGUAAAUAAAGUUCUAAAAAUUCAUUCUUUUUCUAGUAAAAGUAAGUCAAAAUAAUUUUUAUUGUCAAAUUGGAAUUUUUUGAAUAAAUUCUAUCCAAAUAAAAUUCAAUCAAAUCAUUUAUUGGAAAUAAAUAAAUAAAUUAAAAUCUUGAAAAAGUAAUAUUUAAAAUAUCUUUUUGUAAUCAAUUUAAUAAAUCGGGGUGUAUAAUUCUAAUGUCAUUUAUUUUGUACAUUUUUGUAAUUUAAUUUUAUAAUUAUUUUCUUGUAUAUUAAUUUGUGUCUUUAAUCUUGAUAUUCAUGAUUGAUCAAUUAACUGUCAUAAUUCAUUUUGUUUGUUUAGUAAAGAUUGUUAGUAUACAUGCUUAGAGGGGUAUUACCACUUAUUAUUGUACCUUUCUGAUAGACAACUUGACCCUUGAAUAUAGACUUGAUUUUACAGACAUGUCUUUUCUAAAUGAGGAUUUAUACAAAAUUUUCUUUCUUAUUUUAUUUUCUCUUUUAAAAAAUAAAUUAAAAUAAGUGGCAAUCCUAAUUUUUUUAUAUAAAAAAAAAAAAUCAAAAUUUCACAAUAAAAAUGAGUCUCACUGUCGAGUGGGAACACACGCAAAAAAUACGGGUCAACAUGUAUCCAAUUGAUUGGGGUCAAUGUCAAGAUGUAUGAUAAAGAUGCAAAAUUUGAAUAUGAAUCCUACCAUUGAUUGAAUCUUGAACUACCUGAUACUGGUUGUAACAAGUGAGAUAAGUUGCUAAGGUUUGCAUUGAAAUCCUCAAUUGAAAGUUACUAGUCAUCCAAAUAUGUAUAUAAAUCAAAGUGCACACAAUUGAUUUUCUUUCUCUUCUAAAUCCAAGAAAUCAACCUCCUUAAGCAAAAGACCUUAGAAUUCUUAGAGUGUGUUUGAUAGUGAUUUUAGGAAGUGUUUUUAACUUUUUUAAUAAUUGAAAAAUAAGAAUUUUGAAGUGUUAAAAAUGUUAGAAACGCUUCCUAAAAUCACUAUCAAACGCACUUUUAAUGUAAUUUGCUCUAUGUACCACUUGAUGUGGAUGUUAAGAUUGAUAUCCUUGGUCAUUGCCUAUAAUCCUAUAUCUAUAAUAGCAAGAAGACAUACAUUGAAACAUGAAUACCCUUUCACUAUGUUUGGUUUAUGGAAAAUACUAAGAAAAGAAAAUGUUCUGAAAAAUGUUUUUCUUAUAUUUAGUUUUAUUAUGAAAAAUAAGAAAAAAAUAAAAUAUAAUUAUAAUUAAUUAAAAUUUUAUGUAUUUUAAAAUUAUUUAAUAUUUAUAUAAUGAAGGAAAAUAAAUGAAACAAGCUUGAAAAAGUAUAUAAAAAUAAUUUAUUAAUUAUAACUUGUAUGCGACUAUUUUGUACUUUAAUCCCGUUUUUCUUUUAUUCUCUUGUAGGUACCUUGAUUUUAUAUAUUUGUAUCUUUAUUCGAUGAUUUAGAUUUCAUAUAUUUGUAUCUUUAAUUGAGAUUGCAAGAUCCGUACGGAUUCAGAUUAGGGAUGACAACGGUAUGGGCUUGAGGCAAGUUACUCAUAUCCCAAUCCAUUAUAUUUAUUCGUAUAUGUUAUCAUCCCCACCAAAAAAAGAAAUUAAAUGGGAAUAGGAAAUUCUCAUGCCUACCCCAUGCUAUCCCAUUAUUUAUUUAUUUAUUUUUCAAUUUUUAUUUCUAAAAUUUUAAGAAAAUUAAUAUUUUAAAUAUGUUAAAAAAAUUGAAAACUGAAAAAAGAAAUCAAUUAAAGAACUUUUUAUUUAACAUUAUACAUAAUUAGGCUGAGGUAGGAUGAAACAAACUCAUACCCAAAAUCACCCUGAAUCAAUCUUGGGUUUUUAAAAAUUUCUCAAAUUCAAGAUGAGACAAAAUCAUAUCCAAAACUAUCUCGAAUCCAUCCUAGAUUUUAAAAAUUUUCUCUAAUUUAUCUAAACUUUAUAUCAUUAUCUCAAAACGAGUACAUUAAGGGUAUGACAAGUACUAAAAAAAAAUUGGUAUAUUGUCAUCCCUAAUCAAGAUCCUAAAAUUUUUCUUUAUGAUAAUGAAAACAACAAUCAUAGUCGUCAUCUCUCUAUCAGUGUACUUUUUAGGUUUGAUCGAAUACACCUUAUGUGUUGCCUUUGGGGCAACCUAGCUCUCUCAAUCAUUGUCUAAAGUUCGGGUGUUUGUUUGUUUUAAUUUUUUUCGACUUUUUUUAAUACUAAAAGUAACUUAAUGACUUUUUUUUAACUUUUUAGUACUUAAUAAAAAUAAAAUAUUAAAAAACCAAAAACUGUGAUGUUUAAUACUUUUAAACACUAUAUAAUUUUAAGUUUUAUUCAAAAUUAAGUAAAAAAGAAAAAAAAAACACUCCUUUGAUGGUCAUCUAAAACUUUUAGGUCAAAGCUUGAUUUGGAGCUCAUUUAAACCUAACCCAAACUUCAACUAAAAAGACCUAUGUCCAACACAAUUAUUAGAGGUGUCCAAUGGGUCAUGUCGGGCCAACACAACCCAUGUUUAUCAGGCCAAUGCGUUGGCUCGACCCAUGCAAGCCAAAUAGGUGGCUUGACAUGGCCCAUAAACCCAUGGGCUAAUCAUGUCGUGUUGUGCCAUGUCGGUGAGUCGCCCCAUGGGCCACACACUUUAAUUAUUAUUUUUUAAUUUAUUUUGUCUUAAGUUUUUUAUUAUUAAAUAAAAUUUCUUUUUGUUACUUUAAACACCUCUAAUAAUUAUACUUUUUAUUUUUUAUAUUUAUAUUUAUCAAGUUUAUAACUGUAAAAUUUAUAAAAAUGUUAGUUUUUUGUUUUUAAAAAUAAUAAAAAGUGAUAUUUAAAGGGUUAAGUGGGCCAACAUGAUGGCACGACGGGUUGUUUCCUUAGGCCCACCACGACCCGCUCCUUUGGGCCAUGCCGGCCUGACUCGAUCUUUUGGCGCACUAGGCCACAGGCCAAAAUGGGUGGCUCGACCCAUUGGACACCUCUAGUAGUUACAUGUCUAGCAUCCAAACGGUAGACCAGGUGAGUUUUGUCAAACCCAACCCAUUCAUCCCCUUUGCUUCAUGUUGGCCACCCGGUUCAGACCAACCAUUGGGUUGAUUUGGGGUCUUGGUUAUUUUUGUUUAAAUAAAUUGCAAAGAAAAAAAAAACUUGGUUUGGAUAAAUAAACUUAAGUUGUUUUUAAAAUAAGCUUUUAUUUGAUUUUUUCUAAAAAAAUUUAUAAAUUCAAUUUGUACAAUAUUAAUUAUAUUUAAUUGAAGUCUUAUUAAAGAUUUAAAAAAAAAUAGUUUUUAAAUUAAAGAUAAAUUAAAAAAAAUCAUAAAAUAUGAAAUUAAUAUUAUAAUAAAAUCAUAAAUUAUGAUUUUUAUUUAAAAUGAUACUAUUUUAAGAUAUGAUUGAUUUAUUUAUUUUGAUAAGAAUGAAUAAUACUAAUUUUAAAAUAAUAAAAGGGUGAUAUAGUUUAUUUGAAAUAAAUUUAAAAAUAAAUAAAAUUUAUUUUUUUAAUACGUAAAUAAGCGAAGUUUUUCAUUAUAUCUACACCUGAGAAUUUAAUCAAGGAUAUAGUAUUUUGAACUAGUUUUGAUUCAUUCCUAUAAUCUUCAUUCAGUCAUUAUGGUUUAGACAAUUGAUAAUUAAUCUGUUGGCAUAAUUGAUUCUGCAAAACAGUAUCCUGAAUUUAGUAUCGAGGGAGGCAGAAACACAGCGAGAGAGAGAGAGAGAGAGAGAGAGAGAGAGAGAGAGAGAGAGAGAUGAUGCUUAACAAUUAACAGACUGCAGACUGCUUUAUUGUAGUAAUAUGCCCAAAGUCCACACCAGAAGAGUUACAACCAGACCCUCUUAUUAUACCAUGUUUGUUACAAUGAGGGAAUUGAACAUCAUGAAUCGUCAUUCAAGCAAGGAAAUCAAAGGUUGACAGCUUAUUCUUUUUCUAUAUUUCCCCACUAGAAUCGUGCUUGAAGGUAUUCAACCACCCUCUUGUCCAACUGGAAGGCCCUUGCCAGGAAAUCAGGAUUGAUGGGUGGAUUUGAUCCAAACAUUGAACUGGCUAUGGUGAUUACACCUGGAUUUUGGCUGUUAAAAGCGGCAAUGGCUACUGCAUUAGUGUGCCCAAUGUUGACUUGGAAGUGAAUGAGACUGAAAGGGAACACAAAAACAUCCCCCUUGUUCAGGACUUUGCUAAUGAAGCGGUGUUCAGGGUUGGAUGUGAUAAAGCCAACAAAGAGUGUUCCCUCCAAGACAAUGAAGACCUCACUGGCACGAGGGUGAAAGUGAGGAGGGUUUUGACCAUUAGGUUCAUAAUCGAUACGAGCCACUGACACCCCAAGAGUGUUUUCUCCUGGUAAUUGAUCAACAUUUAUAAGAUUGACAAUUGAGCCCACAUAAUUUGAUGUGUUUCCUGGAAUAUUCAGCCCUUGAUACAAGAAAUCCUCGGCCACGGUCAGGUUUGGGUUCUUGCAGAACUUCCCAUUUACAAAUACUGCAUGAAGAAGGAAAAAAGAAAAGAUAUAUCAUUAGUAUCAAACCAUACUCACCAUAUCAAUAAAAAGAGAAGUACUGAAAAUAGCUAUAAGAUCAUUGGUUACUAUAGAAAUACCAGCAUUAUUGGGCUCAUCAACGGCAACACAGGUGUCUUCCAGUGGGCUUGGAUCAUAGGCAGAGGCAAGAAAGGAAGCCAAUGCCAUGAAGGCCACGGUUACCAGGAAACUAACGCCUCUCUUCAUUGUUAGAGUACUGCCUCCAACAAUCACAAUCUUUAUCUUUAGGCGGGGAUAAGAAAUUUAGCAUGGAAAAGAUGUUAAUUUAUAGACCAGAGUCGAUGAGUUAGUCUUUGCAUAAACUCACCAAGUCUUCAAUGGGAAGUUUUUUCUUCUUUCUUUUUUCACUUUCGAGGACAAGCGGUUGCACCAAUACAUGUUGAUUUACGUAGGAUUAGUCAGUAAACAGAUCUUAACCAGAAUAUAAAGCAAUGUACAAUCAGGUGGAGGCAGGUCCAAUUUAAUAUCAAUCUGCAUGAUCCAAACGUUUACAUUGUUUCAACAUUUUUGUAUUAUGGUUUUUAUGAACUGUGUUUUUUUGAGUUGUAAGGAAGAAAAACUUAGGUUUAAAGUUCUAGCAUAGAAGAAAAAACCUGUAGAUUAAUUGAUUUUUUAAUCUGAACCAAACACAUGAUCAACUCCAUAAAAACAAGUGGAAAACAAGAAAAAAUGAAUGAUUUUUAAUAUGUAUUUGUGUGAGAAUGAUAGGUAUAGAUUUUUUUUUGAGAUAUACUGCCACAUAAUCUUCAUCCCUUCUAAAAAACGAGAGAGAAAAAAAAAAGAAUGAUUUUUCUGUUUGUAUCUAAGUGAGAAUGAGAUAUAGAAUUUCACUCCAGACGCAUUAAUUUUAUCUCAUACUGCCAUGCUAGACCAAAUCAGCCCUUAACGACAACCACACUGUUUUGUGGGGGGGGGGUUACUUUUGUUCCAUUAUAUUCACAGAAUCUUCAAAUCCAUUCUUUGGAUUAAUCUGCAUGAGGAAAUCUGUUACUGUUAGUGACGGAAACCUGUUAUUGUUAGUACCGGAGUCAACUGUUUGACUGGGUGGGUUCCAAUCAGAUCCUAAGGAAUGGGUCCAAAGGUCAUCCAUUAGAGUUAAUGGAAUUCAUUGUUGUUCUUGUGCCUUGAUGUGUGAGCCCAACACGCACAGAUGCAACUAGGGAUGGCAACGGGGCGGGUUUUUUCGGGUACCCGCCCUGCCCCGCCCCUAAUGGGAUGGGGUUGAAAUUUAAUAAAUGGGUUUUUAACGGGUAUAAGAUUUUUUUUUUUAAACCCGGGGCGGGUUCGGGUAUUGCCCCAUCCCGCCCCGCCCCGCCCCGCCCCGCCCCGCCCCGCCCCGUUUACAUAUAAAAUCAAUUUUAAAAUUUAAUUUAAUUUAAUUUAAAUUUUAAAAUUAAUUUUAUUUUACUAUUUUUAAUAUAUAGAUAAUAAAAAAAAAUUAAUAAAAUAAAUUAUAAAAAAUAUAAUAAUUUUAUUAUUUAUAAAUAUAUUUAUUUUAAUGUAAUUAAAAAUUUUAAAAGCAAUUUUUUUUUUUUUUAAAAAGGAGGCUAAACAGGGCUGGGCGGGGCGGGUUUGGGAAUUUCCCAUACCUGCCCCGCCCCGCCCCGCCCUGCCCCGUUUAAUUUUUUAAACGGGACGGGGAUGGGAAUUAUUUUUAAUAAACGGGGCGGGGUUGGGAUGGGGGCGACCCGUCCCGAACCUGCCCCGUUGCCAUUCCUAGAUGCAACAGUAUGAGUCAUGUGCAGGUAGAUUUGAAUAGACACAUCUUGGCAUCGGGAUGGCUUGAGCAAGGUGUAGUCUCCUACAAUAGGAAGCAUGGUGAACUGAUGCAUCACAUGAGCAAGACUCCUAUUGCAUGAGACAUACUCCUAUCACAUGAGACUUCUAGUCAAAGUGGGAGAUUGAGACCUAAUAUUGCAGGAAGAGAAAGGGACUCUUGACAUGAGAAGACUCCUAAUCGGGAUAGAAAACUAAAUCUUCAUGCAUAAGGAGAUAGAGAGAUGUGGCAUGAGAGUUUUAGAUUCAGUAGGACUUGGAGUCCUACUCAAAUUUGUCAUCUGUUAAGCUUGAGUCGGACGCAAACUAGGACUCAAAAGUUAGUCUCCUAGUAGGAUUAGGAUGGCUUGGUGCAACCUUCAUAAAAGGAGGGCGUGACCCAAUAGGAUGCUCCAAAAAUGGUACCUUACGUGAUAGGAAGGCCCCUUCAAAAGUCAUAUUGCUUGUACCACCAAGACACCACCACUAAGUAUUUGUCCAUAUCUUAAUCCAUGUGUGCAUGGAGAUGAACAUAAAUAUAUAUAGAAAAGAUAAAUAUUAGAAGACAAGUCUCCACAAAGAGACAAAAAUAUAGAAGGCUUCGGUCAACCAAUCCCGCUAUGCGUGGCAAAUGUUUCAGGGGACUGCGUAGGAUUGAACAGCCUUUGCUAGAGGGAAGAUCAAUCUAUGGGCGUGAAUAAAGAGAGAACUGGAGAAGUAUUGGAACAGGCGGGUCACCUCAGUUGACCAGGAAACAUGGCAUUAGUCAACGCAAACCUUGGCUUUCGAUCUCUACAUCGGUGCUGAAUAUUGUUGAACGGAAACACGUGGCCAGCUACAUUGGUUCUAGACAACAAAGGCUGCAACAAUUAACCUGAAAUUGAAAAUUUUGAAAUUUUUUUGAAAACAUAACAUCUUAAGAUGACUGGUAACCUUCUCUUAUUGGUUGGCUCUAAAUCAAAACCACUAUACAUGCAUUGUUCAAUGUAUAUAUGAUGUAGCAUUUUUGUGUUUUGUCUUUUACAAGUUGUAUAUAUUGGAAAAUUCUGACACCAUACAAAAACAUAGAAAAGCCACAAAUACCGCAACUUGCAUAUUUUCAUUUUAUGGCUGAAACUUUUCAAUGAAUCAUUAUCUUUAUUUCAAACUUUAAAAUUUUGAAAACAUAACAUCUUAAGAUGACUCGUAACCUUCUCUUAUUGGUUGGCUCUAAAUCAAAACCACUAUACAUGCAUUGUUCAAUGUAUAUAUGAUGUAGUAUUUUUGUGUUUUGUCUUUUACAAGUUUUAUAAAUUGGAAAAUUCUGACACCAUACAAAAACAUAGAAAAGCCACAAAUACCGCAACUUGCAUAUUUUUAUUUUAUUUUAAUUAUUUAUAGUUGAUUAGGUUUAUGGUAUGCCAUGUUGGAUGCUUUCAGAUUUUACAGAUCUAAGUUACUUUUAUUUUGAGAACGAAUAUUCCAUAAUUCAACCUUUUCCUUUUCUUGUUGGUAAUCAUGAUACAUAAAAUCUAGGAAUGCUAAACACAUCUUUUUUAAAAGUACUAUAUUGUAUUACAAUAGGAAAUGGCUUUUAUCAAAAGAGAAAUAUCCUUAAAUUGAUUAGGCCUAGCUCAUACUUUCAUCAACCAUAUGAUGACAUGAAAAAAAUCAAAGAAGAAAUAUGGGAAAUGGUACGAAAAGAGAUGGGUAGUAAUAACAUGAGACAACAACUUGUUUUACAACUAGUUGUAGCAGAAAAACCAAUGUUUAAAAUGAUAGAAGAGCCCCAACCACCAGAACCACCACUGAAACACAAGGUAUGCAUUUACUUACUAAUAAUACAAGAUUAAUAUAAGUGACAUAAAGCCUAUGUAAAUGAUAUUAUUUGUUGUAUUGAAGGUAAUUAAAUGUAAAUUAGCAGUGGAAAGAAAAGAAAAUGUUGUUCCAACUGGUACACUAAUAGAAGAAAAAGGAUCGAAUAGGUUGGUUGUAAUAAAUGCUGCACACAAGCCAGAUGCUAGACUCCCAUUUCCAAAUCCAUAUGAGAUUAUCAAUGUUGGGGAUGCUAUUGGCUUUGAGCUUGACUGGCCAACAAGCCUUGUCAUACUUGAAACUGAACAUCCUUAGGUAUGUCAUUUUAUGCCUAUAGUAAAUUUGAUUGUAACUUGGUAUUUUAUUGUUUAGGAGUAUAUAUAUCUAACAUUCCUUCCUUUUUCAUAGGUGUUGGAUAAAGGAAAGAAGAAGAUAGUGAAGACACCAAUUUUUUGAAAAUCUAAGCCUCAAAAUCAUUCGGUCAUUAAAAAUUUUCAAAAAUUUGUGGAUGGUUGUCUUGGUAAUGACAAGACAUACCCAAUACAGCUCCCCAUUUCACUUUUUGGUGUCGAAUUUCAAACAUAUAUAUCUAGAGAGGAUUGUGAAUACAUUAUUUCAUCUUUAGAGGUGUCAUCAAACUGCAUCUCCUUCUAUUUAUGGUGUGCACCUUUUAUUUUCAUUUGUUUUUAUUUUUUUAAAUAUGAGUUGCCCAUGUUGAACGAAAUUGGAUAUGACUAAUGAUAAUUUUCUUUUGGUGUUUUGAUACAAUAAUAGGCACAUGCAUGAUCAACUACAUAUUGCCAAAAAGGAAUCACAAUUUAUAUUUGUUAAUCCUUUUACAAUAUCACGAGCAAGCCUUAGUACUCAUCAAACAGAGAAAAGAGCACAAUUGUUGUCAAAACGCUUAAUGGAGUGCCAAGAUGCUAAAUAUGUUUUCAUACCUUACAACCCUGAGUAAGUGACAAAUAUUAUACUUUAAUUUGAGGUUUUAUGAUUGAUUUAUAUUUCUAAUUAGACGCUACUUUUGUUUUUAAUGUUUUAGCUUUCAUUGGGUCUUGGUGGUGAUUGAGCCAAGGAAAAUGAUAGUCCACUAUCUUGACCCUAUGCAUCACAAACUAUUUGAGGACUUAAAGAAUAUCGUAAACAUGUAAGUUCUUCCUAUUAUUUUUCAUAGUAUUAUUUUUUUUUUUUUAUAAAAAAUACAUUCAUCUCAAACACAUUGAACUUAUUUACAUAGGGCACUUCGAAUAUCUACAAAGAAAACAUCUAAAAGGGAGCCAUCUUGGCAACUAGUGCAGGUGACAUCCAAAAAAUUUUCUUUACACAUUAGCUUAUGCAUUUGCACCAUUUAUAUAUAUGAGUACUAAUGUUAUUUUAUAAUUGAUCGAUUAGUGUCCAAGACAAGAAGGAGGGUUCGAAUGUGGCUACUUUGUUAUGAGAUUCAUAAAAGAGAUAAUUUUUUAUCCUACAAUUAUUGCUUCAAAGGUAUUACAAAUUUAAUGAAUUGUACAUAGUUUUAGGCUUCCAAAUGUUAUGCAUUUUAAUGUUAUUUUCUUAUUUGAUUUCAGUUUGGUGAUAAAAAAACAUAUUCUCAAGUAGAAUUCGAUGAAAUUAGAGAAAAAUGGGCUACUUUUGUGCUACAACUAAUCAUGAAUCAUGUUGAUGCAUCAUGAUCACCAUGCAUGGUGAGUCCUUUAGCUACUACAUGAAUUUUUCCAUAGGUUCUUUGAAUAAUGUUUCUAUUUGAAAAAAAAAAAGAAAAAAAAAUAGUUCUUAGAUUUUUUUCAUUUAUGAUAACAUCGAUCCAUGUUUAUUUUCUUCAAUAAAAAUCUAUAAAACUCAUUAAACUAUGAAAUGCAAGUAUACACUUUUGGGAUGGUGGAAUGGAGAAUAAAAAGAAAGAAGAAGGCAACAAGAUUUUGGGUUUUUAAAUGCAACUCUUAUGUCAUACGUUGUAGGACAUAAAUGUUAAUUUAAUUAGUACUGAGAAAUUUAGAUUUUUAGAUGGGACUUUUAUGUCAUUUUAUAGUUAGCCGGUUUUAUGCUUAUGAAUUGGAGGUAUACAUGAAUCUUGGGAUCUUUAACAUUUCUAAAUCAUGUUUUGGUAUGUAUUCACUCUUCUUUUUUUAGUUUUGAUGGGUUUGAUAUGUUGGAUGUACUAUCUUUUUGUGAACAUUUGAUAUACAAAUAUUAUUAGAUGAUCAAUGUAUUAUGAGUUAUUCUAGAAACAUUACAGAAAAAUGAGUUAAAUAUAAUAUUAUUGUUAUAUUUAUGGACAAAAAAUAAAUAGGUUAAUCUUACUUAUUAAUUCAUAAGCAUUACAAAAAUUUAUAACUAAAAGCAAUCAUAUCUUCCACAAUAAUUUACAAUGAUGUGACACCAUUACUCAAAGGUGAUGCAUUUAAUAUGACAUUAUAAUUCAAAGAUGAUGCAUUUAAUGCGAUACCCUCUCAUCACUAGAAAUAUAUGGUGUCACUUCCGAAUGGGUCACCAUUUAUCUACUUUGGUGUCACUUCCAAAUACGUUACCAAUUGGUACCCUCUAUGGUAUCAGUGGAGAAGGUGACGCUAUGUUGUAGUGACACCCUAUGUUUAUGGUAACUCGUUAUAAAUGUCACCAUAUAUCUUUUUCCCUAUAGUGUAUAGCUCCAGUGAGGCUGUUCUCAGAGAAACAAAGGUAUGUCAAGUUUGUCAUUUGGCCUAGUACAGCAGGAAUGCUUCCAGUCAGAUUGUUAUCGUCCAAGUCUAUUGUCUCCAGGCUCCAAUAGCCUUGUAUGGAGGCUGGAAUAUUGCCUCCAAGCUUAUUACAACUCAUGUUUAUGAAUGUUAACUCAGAAAGCUCUCCAAUGGUAGCUGGGAUCCCUCCAUACAAGCUGUUGCCUUGCAAAGAGAGGGUGGUGAGAUGGGAUAGAUUGGAUAUGUAUGGUGAGAUAACUCCCUGUAAGCGCAUGUUUAUGAGCUUGAUUGACUCUAUUGAUAUUUUGUUGGUUGAGCAUGGAUUUAUGACUUAUAACGCACACGUGGAGGGUUGAAUUUCAUGAAAGAAAAUGAGGGUCAGAAAAAUAAUAAAUGGCAAGACAUUGAGCUUAUUGUGGGUAUGAUUGGGUACAAAUUCUUUUGUAUAUAUCUACUUGGGGUAUACAAUUGAAUAUUUAAUUUAGGAAGAUUCAAAAAAUUGUUUUCAAUGAAAUUCAAUAAUAAUAAUAAUAAUAAUAACAAUUGCCUGGAAAUUUAUUUAUUUAAUAAACAUUGUUUUGUCAUCAAAGUUAAUUUUUAAUAAAAUUAUCUAAAAAAAUGAAUUUUUAAAUAAAAUUCUAUUUCCUUAAUUAAAAUGGGCUAAAAAGUAAUUUUUGCAAAUUAAUGUCUUAAAUAACCUUUUCAUAAUAAUAGAAUGAGAAUCUUUUUAGCAAAUUGAACUUAUACAAAUCAUUUUCUUUUUGUAAAUAAAGUUUGUAAAAAAAUUAUUUUCUUUAUAAAUAAAAUCAAAUUGAAAUAUUUUUACAACUAAAAGAAUAUUUAGUUGAGCAAGUGAUGAACUAUUUUCUUGUUUAAGUAACCUUUUGUAAUGUUCCCCCAGCAUAAUGGUAGUACAAUAAGAGGGUUUAUUAUGUACUUCUUUCUAUAUGGACUUUGGGUAUAAUAAAAACAAUGCUUUCUCUUUCUCUCUCUCUCUCUCUCCCCCUCAGUCCACAGGUUUAGACCCUUAGCUUUACCCUGCACUAAGUCUUGAAAGCCAAAGAUUAUGCAGAAUCAAACUCUUAAAGUCUACAGCAUGAGUUGAGGAAAAAAGGAUGAGUAUUUAACGUAGUAGUUGAGGAAUGAUUCAAUGUUUGAAAUAUAAAAAAUGCAAUCCAUUGAACACUUAGCUGGCCUAUCUGCUUAUUAUUGUAUACAUAAAACAUAGACUAAUCCGAAGACUUCUAUGUGAUAACUUUAGAAUUUUCAUAUCCAAGGUUUUCACUUCUUUCUCAUCAGAAGACAAAGAUUGUAACUGUUGCAGAAAACCUAACAACCUAGUUUAUUUGUUAAGGUCCCUUUCUCUCAUAAAACAUAAAUAUAUUCACUAUCAAACACCAUAAUGAUAAUAAUAAUUAAUGAUCUUCUUUUUGCUGUAUAUACACUACUUUAGAGUUUGUUCAAUGUUUGGUUACCAAGAAAACACAAGGACUGAUCUGCUGCAUUAAAAGGUUAAUAUGUAGUUCUUCCAUUAGCUAGCCAUUUGGAACUAAGUCUUGUGGAGAACUUUUCAUAUUGGAGAUGGAUAUGAAAUUGGACCUGCCUCCACCUCAUUGAACUUCACUUUCAACAUAUGCAUUGAGAAUAUUUAAGUUAAGAUCAGUAUACUAACUAACCCUACAUAAAUUAACAUGUAUUGGUGAAAACACUUAUCCUUGUAAGUGAGAAAGCAAAAAAAGAAAAAAAAAAAAAGAAAAAAGAGAGAGACCUACCCAUUGAAGACUGUCUAUAAAUUGACAUGUUUCUCAUGCAAAAAUUUUCACCCCUCGCCUAAACGCAAAGAUUUGUAAUUGUUUGGAGACAGUACUCUAACAAUGGAGAAAGGUGUUAGUUUCCUAGUAACUGUGGCCCUCAUGGCAUUGGCUUCAUCUUUUGCCUCUGCCUCUGAUCCAAGCCCACUGCAGGACACUUGCGUUGCCAGACCCAAGAAUGCUGGUAUUUCUUUAGUAACCAACGAACUUGUCUCUAUUUUCACUAAUCUUUCCAAUUCAAUAUUGGGCACAUUAAUGCAGUAGCCAUUGCUGGUCUGAGCAGCCAAAAUCCAGGUGUAAUCACCAUAGCCAAUGCAGUGUUUGGAUCAAAUCCACCCAUCAAUCCCGAUUUCCUGGCAACGGCCUUCCAGUUGGACAAGAAGGUGGUUGAAUUCCUUCAAGCACGAUUCUAGUGGGGAAAUAGAGAAAAUGAAGAAGCUAUGAACCUUUGGUUUUCUUGCUUGAAUGACUAUUUGUGAUGUUCAAUUACCUCAUUACAAUAAGAGGGGUUUAUUACUUUAUUUUGUAGCUCUUUUGGUGUGGAUUUUGAUCCUGAUAUUAAAAUAAAGCAGUUUGUCUGUUAGGCAUCUUCUUCUGUCUCCAUCUCAAUAUUUGUCUUAAAAAAUCUCAUCUUGUGAAAAAACAACUGGAUAACAACUCUCAGUUGAUUGAUUAACCUGCAUGUGCAGAAUGUUUAUUAAGAAGGAAUACUUAGCUAGUUGUAAAACAGUACUACUGUUACUUCCAGCAUAAGUGUCAUGAAAAUUGUGAAGAAAGAAUGGAAAUGAAAACCCAGAAAUCUUAUGACAUCUACUGUAGACAAAUUAAUGUCUUAAAUAAUCUUUUCAUAAUAAUAGAAUGAGAAUCUUUUUAGCAAAUUGAACUUAUACAAAUCAUUUUCUUUUCGUAAAUAAAGUUUGUAAAGAAAUUAUUUUCUUUAUAAAUAAAAUCAAAUUAAAAUAUUUUUGUAAAUAAACUAAAAAUUAAUGUCCUAAGUAAAAAUCAUUUUUAUUGUCAAAUUGGAAUUUUUUGAAUAAAUUCUAUCCAAAUAGAAUUGAAUCAAAUCAUUUAUUGGAAAUAAAUAAAUAAAUUAAAAUCUUGAAAAAGUAAUAUUUAAAAUAUCUUUUUGUAAUCAAUUUAAUAAAUCGGUUUGUAUAAUUCUAAUGUCAUUUAUUUUGUACAUUUUUGUAAUUUAAUUUUAUCAUUAUUUUCUUGUAUAUUAAUUUGUCUCUUUAAUCUUGAUAUUCAUGAUUGAUCAAUUAACUGUCAUAAUUCAUUUCGUUUGUUUAGUAAAUAUUGUUAGUAUACAUGCUUAGAGGAGUAUUACGACUUAUUACUGUACCUUCCUGAUAGGCAACCUGACCCUUGAAUAUAGACUUGAUUUUACAAACAUGUCUUUUCUAAAUGAGGAGUUACACAAAAUUUUCUUUCUUAUUUUGUUCUCUUUUAAAAAAUAAAUUAAAAUAAGUGGCAACCCUAAUUUUUUUAUAAAAAAAAAAAAAAAAUCAAAUUUUCACAAUAAAAAUGAGUCUCACUGUCGAGUGGGAACACACGCAAAAAAUACGGGUCAACAUGUAUCCAAUUGAUUGGGGUCAAUGUCAAGAUGUGUGAUAAAGAUGCAAAUUUGAAUAUGAAUCCUGCCAUUGAUUGAAUCUUGAACUACCCGAUAGUGGUUGUAACAAGUGAGAUAAGUUGCUAAGGUUUGCGUUGAAAAGUUCAGCCAUGGAAAGUUACUAGUCAUCCAAAUAUGUAUAUAAAUCAAAGUGCACAUUCUAAAUCAAAGAAAUCAGCCUCCUUAAGCAAAAGACCUUACAAUUCUUAGAGUAUGUUUGGUAGUAAUUUUAGGAAGUGUUUUUAACUUUUUUAAUAAUUGAAAAAUAAGAAUUUUGAAGUAUUAAAAAAUGUUAGAAACACUUCCUAAAAUCACUAUCAAACGCACUUUUAAUGUAAUUUGCUCUAUCUACCACUUGAUGUGGAUGUUAAGAUUGAUAUCCUUGGUCAUUGCCUAUAAUCCUAUAUCUAUAAUUGCAAGAAGACAUACAUUGAAACAUGAAUACCCUUUCACUAUGUUUGGUUUAUGGAAAAUACUAAGAAAAGAAAAUGUUUUUCUUAUAUUUAGUUUUAUUAUGAAAAAUAAGAAAAAAUAAAAUAUAAUUAUAAUUAAUUAAAAUUUUAUGUAUUUUAAAAUUAUUUAAUAUUUAUAUAAUGAAGGAAAAUAAAUGAAACGAGCUUGAAAAAGUAUAUAAAAAUAAUUUAUUAAUUAUAACUUGUAUGCGACUAUUUUGUACUUUAAUCCCGUUUUUCUUUUAUCCUCUUGUAGGUACCUUGAUUUUAUAUAUUUGUAUCUUUAUUCAAUGAUUUAGAUUUCAUAUAUUUGUAUCUUUAAUUGAGAUUGCAAGAUCUGUACGGAUUCAGAUUAGGGAUGGCAACGCUAUAAGCUUAAGAUAAGUUACUCAUAUCCCAAUCCAUUAUAUUUAUUCGUAUAUGUUAUCAUCCCCACCAAAAAAAGAAAUUAAAUGGGAUGGGACGGGUAUAGGAAAUUCUCAUGCCUACCCCAUGCUAUCCCGUUUUUUAUUUAUUUAUUUUUCAAUUUUUAUUUCUAAAAUUUUAAGAAAAUUAAUAUUUUAAAUAUGUUAAAAAAAUUGAAAACUGAAAAAAGAAAUCAAUUAAAAGAACUUUUUAUUUAACAUUAUACAUAAUUAGGCUGAGGUAGGAUGAAACAAACUCAUACCCAAAAUCACCCCGAAUCAAUCUCGGGUUUUAAAAAAUUUCUCAAAUUCAAGAUGAGACAAAAUCAUAUCCAAAACUAUCUCGAAUCCAUCCUAGAUUUUAAAAAUUUUCUCAAAUUUAUCUAAACUCGUUUAUCAUUAUCUCAAAACGAGCCCAUUAAGGGUAGGACGAGUACUAAAUAAAAUUGGUAUAUUAUCAUCCCUAAUCAAGAUCCUAAAAUUUUUCUUUAUGAUAAUGAAAACAACAAUCAUAGUCGUCAUCUCUCUAUCAGUUUACUUGUUAGGUUUGAUCAAAUACACCUUAUGUGUUGCCUUUGGGCAACCUAGCUCUCUCAAUCAUUGUCUAAAGUUCGGGUGUUUGUUUAUUUUUUUAAUUCAUUUUGUCUUAAGUUUUUUAUUAUUAAAUAAAAUUUCUUUUUGUUACUUUAAACACCUCUAAUAAUUAUACUUUUUAUUUUUUAUAUUUAUAUUUAUCAAGUUUAUAACUGUAAAAUUUAUAAAAAUGUUAGUUUUUUGUUUUUAAAAAUAAUAAAAAGUGAUAUUUAAAGGGUCAAGUGGGCCAGCAUGAUGGCACGAUGGGUUGUUUCCUUAGGCCCACCACGACCCGCUCCUUUGGGCCAUGCCGGCCUGACUCGGUCUUUUGGCGCACUUGGCCACAGGCCAAAAUGGGUGGCUCGACCCAUUGGACACCUCUAGUAGUUACAUGUCUAGCAUCCAAACGUUAGACCAGAUGAGUUUUGUCAAACCCAACCCAUUCAUCCCCUUUGCCUCAUGUUGGCCACCCGGUUCGGACCAGCCUUGACAUGAACGGCAAGGUCCAAUGGAUUAGGUUGAUUUAGGGUCUCGAUUAUUUUUGUUUAAAUAAAUUGCAAAGAAAAAAAAAACUUGGUUUGGAUAAAUAAAUUUCAAUUGUUUUUAAAAUAGGUUUUUAUUUUAUUUUUUGUAAAAUUUUUUAUAAAUUCAAUUUAUACAAUAUUAAUUAUAUGUAAUUGAAGUCUUAUUAAAGAUUUUUUAAAAAAUAGUUUUUAAAUUAAAGAUAAAUUAAAAAAAAUCAUAAAAUAUGAAAUUAAUAUUAUAAUAAAAUCAUAAAUUAUGGUUUUUAUUUAAAAUGAUACUAUUUUAAGAUAUGAUUUAUUUAUUUUUAUAAGAAUGAAUAAUACUAAUUUUAAAAUAAUAAAAGGGUGAUAUAUUUUAUUUGAAAUAAAUUUAAAAAUAAAUAAAUUUUAUUUUUUUAAUACGUAAAUAAGUCAUGUUUUUCAUUAUAUCUACACCCGAGAAUUUAAACUUGACCCAAACUUCAACUAAAAAGACCUAUAUCCAACACAGUUAUUAGAGGUGUCCAAUGGGUCGUGUCGGGCCAACACAAUCCGAUGUUUAUCAGGCCAAUGCGUUGGCUCGACCCAUGCAAGCCAAAUAGGUGGCUUGACAUGGCCCAUAAGCCCAUGUGCUAAUCAUGUCGUGUUGUGCCAUGCCGGUGAGUCGUGCCCCAUGGGCACACACUUUAUUAAAAAUUUUAAUUAAUUUUUUUUAAUUCAUUUUGACUUAAGUUUUUUUAUUAUUAAAUAAAAUUUCUUUUUGUUACUUUAAACACCUCUAAUAAUUAUACUUUUUUAUUUUUUAUACACUUCUAAUAAUUAUACUUUUUUUUUAUAUUUAUAUUUAUCAAGUUUAUAACUGUAAAAUUUAUAAAAAUGUUAGUUUUUUGUUUUUAAAAAUAAUAAAAAGUGAUAUUUAAAGGGUUAAGUGGGCCAGCAUGAUGGCACGAUGGGUUGUUUCCUUAGGCCCACCACGACCCGCUCCUUUGGGCCAUGCCAGCUUGACUCGGUCUUUUGGCGCACUAGGCCACAGGCUAAAAUGGGUGGCUCGACCCAUUGGACACCUCUAGUAGUUACAUGUCUAGCAUCCAAACGUUAGACCGGGUGAGUUUUGUCAAACCCAACCCAUUCAUCCCCUUUGCUUCAUGUUGGCCACUCGGUUCAGACAUUGGGUUGAUUUGGGGUCUCGGUUCUUUUUGUUUAAAUAAAUUGCAAAGAAAAAAAAAACUUGGUUUGGAUAAAUAAACUUCAGUUGUGUUUAAAAUAAGUUUUUAUUUGAUUUUUUGUAAAAAAAAUUAUAAAUUCAAUUUAUACAAUAUUAAUUAUAUUUAAUUGAAGUCUUAUUAAAGAUUUUUUUAAAAAUAGUUUUUAAAUUAAAGAUAAAUUAAAAAAAUUCGUAAAAUAUGAAAUUAAUAUUAUAAUAAAAUCAUAAAUUAUGAUUUUUAUUUAAAAUGAUACUAUUUUAAGAUAUGAUUGAUUUAUUUAUUUAUUUAUUUUGAUAAGAAUGAAUAAUACUAAUUUUAAAAUAAUAACAGGGUGAUAUUUUAUUUGAAAUAAAUUUAAAAAUAAAUAAAAUUUAUUUUUUUUAAUACGUAAAUAAGUGAAGUUUUUCAUUAUAUCUACACCUGAGAAUUUAAUCAAGGAUAUAGUAUUUUGAACUAGUUUUGAGUCAUUCCUAUAAGCUUCAUUCAGUCAUUAUGGUUUAGACAAUUGAUAAUUAAUCUGUUGGCAUAAUUGAUUCUGCAAAACAGUAUCCUGAAUUUAGUAUCGAGGGAGGCAGAAACACAGCGAGAGAGAGAGAGAGAGAGAGAUGAUGCUUAACAAACAGACUGCAGACUGCUUUAUUGUAGUAAUAUGCCCAAAGUCCACACUAGAAGAGUUACAACCAGACCCUCUUAUUAUACCAUGUUUGUUACAAUGAGGGAAUUGAACAUCAUGAAUCGUCAUUCAAGCAAGGAAAUCAAAGGUUGACAGCUUAUUCUUUUUCUAUAUUUCCCCACUAGAAUCGUGCUUGAAGGUAUUCAACCACCCUCUUGUCCAACUGGAAGGCCCUUGCCAGGAAAUCAGGAUUGAUGGGUGGAUUUGAUCCAAACAUUGAACUGGCUAUGGUGAUUACACCUGGAUUUUGGCUGUUAAAAACGGCAAUGGCUACUGCAUUAGUGUGCCCAAUGUUGACUUGGAAGUGAAUGAGACUGAAAGGGAACACAAAAACAUCCCCCUUGUUCAGGACUUUGCUAAUGAAGCGGUGUUCAGGGUUGGAUGUGAUAAAGCCAACAAAGAGUUUUCCCUCCAAGACAAUGAAGAUCUCACUGGCACGAGGGUGAAAGUGAGGAGGGUUUUGACCAUUAGGUUCAUAAUCGAUACGAGACAGUGACACCCCAAGAGUGUUUUCUCCUGGUAAUUGAUCAACAUUUAUAAGAUUGACAAUUGAGCCCACAUAAUUUGAUGUGUUUCCUGGAAUAUUCAGCCCUUGAUACAAGAAAUCCUCGGCCACGGUCAGGUUUGGGUUCUUGCAGAACUUCCCAUUUACAAAUACUGCAUGAAGAAGGAAAAAAGAAAAGAUGUAUCCUUAGUAUCAAACCAUACUCACCAUAUCAAUAAAAAGAGUAGUACUGAAAAUAGCUAUAACAUCAUUGGUUACAAUAGAAAUACCAGCAUUCUUGGGCUCAUCAACUGCAACACAGGUGUCUUCCAGUGGGCUUGGAUCAUAGGCAGAGGCAAGAAACGAAGCCAAUGCCAUGAGGGCCACAGUUACCAUGAAACUAACGCCUUUCUUUAUUGUUAGAGUACUGUCUCCAACAAUCCCAAUCUUUAUCUUUCGGCGGGGAUAAUAAAUUUAGCCUGGAAAAGAUGUUAAUUUAUAGACCAGAGUCGGUGAGUUAGUCUUUGCAUAAACUCACCAAGUCUUCAAUGGGAAGUUUUUUCUUCUUUCUUUUUUCACUUUCGAGGACAAGCGGUUGCACCAAUACGUGUUGAUUUACGUAGGAUUAGUCAGUGUAUAGAUCUUAACCAGAAUAUAAAGCAAUGUACAAUCAGGUGGAGGCAGGUCCAAUUUAAUAUCAAUCUGCAUGAUCCAUACGUUUACAUUUAUAGUAGAGCUUUCUGCUCUUUUAGUAGUGUAUAGACAAGCAAAUAGAAGAUUACAGAGUAGGUGCCAGCUUGGAGUAUACAAUGACCCGCCCAUAUCAAACAUGGUUACUCCAUGAGGCUUGUGUAGGUUCAGUUUAAUGAGUAUCUAUAUAGCUUAAUUCACCAUUCAAAGUGUUGAGAGAUUGGCUGAUGAGAUUAAAUAUGUAGCCAAGUUCUGAGUUUCUAGCUCAUGUGCCUUCCACUGAGUGAAAAGUCCUUGGAUAAGCUCUGGCUUUCUGCUAUACGCUCAUUAGGCUUUCCUCAGUUACAAAAGCUUUGACUAUGAUUUUUACGCUUGUAGCCUUCGCUGUCUGAGCGGUUUCUAAGACUUUUUAAUUAGUUGCUUCUAAGUUGUCUUUAACAAGCAAGUCCGUAUUUUCUGGCGAGAAGCAAGAAAAUACCAAUUGAUUAGAUGAAGUCCUUCGACUAAUCUAUGCCCUAUACGUAAGGUAAUUAAGCAGUUACACUUUCCAAAUCUUCAAUGGAUGUCAUUUUUCGAAUUGAAAGGUUGAACUUCCUCAAGUUAUGCUCUAGACUCUAGAAUGAAUUCUACAUAAUCUUCGGUUUUAGGCCUUAUUCCUAGUUUAAAGCUAAGAAGUAAACCAGUGGACAGACCAUCUGUAAUCAGAUUGUGAUUAGUGUCAUGACCCAUUAGAUCUUUAUAAGAAGUUGGCCAUGGUUCAAAGUCACGGUAUCCGUCACCAAAUCGGUAAGUCCCGAGGUACAUCAGUUUCAACGUCACGGAUCGAUAUCGGAUGAUACGCAAAAAUUUAUAGUUUAAAAGCUCAAAACAAUUUAAAAAGAUUACAAAAAUAAAUACAAAUAAAUAAAGUUAAAAAUUAAGAAAUAAAAUUUUAUUAUGUAUAAAAUUAUUCAAAUUAUGAUAAAACAUACCUUUGUAAUGAUUUAUAAAAAUAUUAAAACUAUAAAAAAAAUAAUUUAAUCACUUAAUAUUAAAUAUGCAUCAUUAAAGAUGAAAAUAAUAAAAAGUGAAUUUAUAGUUUAUAAUUUUUUUAAAAUUAAAUAUUUUGAAUUUUUUAAAAAUAUUUUCAAUAUUUAAAAAAAUACAUCUAGGAAUCAUCUUUGAAAAAAAUAAACAUCAUUUUUCUUAUCAAAUGUAUUCUAAAUAAAACAAUUAUAAAAAUAAAGAAUUUUUAUUUGAAUGAGCAUAUUUGAAUAUAAUAUAUUUUUUCUAUACAUCUAUUCAUUUGAAUUGAAUUUUUAUAUUAAUAUUCAUUUCCUUUUUUAUUCAUGUAAACCUAAAUAUUCAUUAUUAAUGUACCAUAAUCCUAAUUCCCAUCAAAUUUGCAUUAUCCAUUUAAAUACAAUUAUUCACAACAUAUUCAUUAACUACUUAAAAAACAAAUACCCACCCAAAUUUGUAAUCCUAUCAAAUACCCAUAACCCAUUGGCAAACACGUAUUUCCUUUUUUUGGCACAAUACCCAUUUUCUCUCUAAAACAACACUUUGAGCUCUCUAUUUCUUUGCACAAUACCUAUAUUUGAAGGCUAAAAAAAUAGGCCUACAAAGAUACAAAAGGAUGGAGCUAGAAAUACAAGGAUGAAGAUGCACAAGGUUUGAAGACUCUAUACUCUCCACACUUCUUCACUUUCAUAUGUUUCCAUCAUCUUCUUUCAUCCACUAUUUUCGCUCCUAUAUUACCAUUUUUUCCCAUCACCCAUCACCCGAAGAGCUUAGUUUGAAUAUAAUCUUGGGGUUAUCUCAAAGUUUCUUUGUGAUUCAACAAGUUUUUUCAUGAGUCAACCAAAUAUUAGACUCAGGUAUCGGUUCAGUACUAGUCAUGGACAAGAUUUUAACCCUGUUUGAGCUCUCUAUUUCUUUGUACAAUACCAAUUUUUAAAGGCUCACAAAAUAACCCUAUGAAAAUACAAGAGGAUAGAGAUGCAAAUACAGGGAUGAAGAUGCAAAAGGUUUGAAGACUUUGAACUCUCCAUAUUCUUCGGUUUCAUGGGUUUCAAUCUUCUUCUCUCAUCAACUAUUUCUGCUCCAAUAUUACCAUUUUUUUCCAUCACCCAUGACCUGAAGAGCUUAGCUUGGACAUAAUCUUAGGGAUAUCUCAAAGUUUCUUUGUGAUUUAACAAGUUUAUUCAUGAUUCAACCAAAUAUUGGACUCGGAUAUCGGUCCGAUACCGAUCAUGGCUGAGGCAUAUAUGAAUCGGUUGAGUCGUACCGGUCUCGACCGAGAUUUUGAACCUUGUUUGAGCUUUCUAUUUCUUUGCACAAUACUAAUUUUUGAAGCCUUAUAAAAUAGCCCUACGAAGAUAUAAGAGGAUGAAGAUGCAAAUACAAGGAUGAAUAUGCAAAGGGUUUGAAGACUUUGAACUCUCCAUACUUCUUCACUACCAUAGGUUUCAAUCUUCUUCUCUCAUCCACCAUUUCCAUUCCAAUAUUACCAUUUUUUUUUCCAUCACCCAUCACUCAAAGAGCUUAGUUUGGACAUAAUCUUGGGGUUAUCUCAAAGUUUCUUUAUGAUUCAACAAGUUUAGUCAUGAGUCAACUAAAUAUUGGACUUGGGUAUCAGUCUGAUACUAGUCAUGACCAAGAUUUUGAACCCUUUUUGAGCUCUCUAUUUCUCUACAUAAUACCCAUUUUUGAAUGCUCACAAAAUAACCCUACAAAGAUACAAGAUGAUAGAGAUGCAAAUACAAGGAUGAAGAUGCAAAGGGUUUGAAGACUCUAAACUCUCCAUACUUCUUCACUUUCAUAGGUUUCGAUCUUCUUCUCUCAUCCGCCAUUUCAACUCCAAUAUUACCAUUUUUUUCCAUGACCUAUCACUCGAAGAGCUUAUUUUGGACAUAAUCUUGGGGUUAUCUCAAAGUUUCUUUUUUAUUCAACAAGUUUAUUCAUGAGUCAACCAAAUAUUGGACUUGAGUAUUAGUUCGGUACUGGUCAUGGCCGAGGUGGAUAUGACUUGGCCAAGUCAUACUGGUCUCAAUCGAGAUUUUGAACCCUAUUUGAACUCUCUAUUUCUUUGCACAGUACCCAUUUUUUAAGGCUAACAAAUUAGCCCUACGAAGAUAUAAGAGGAUUGAGAUGCAAAUAAAGAAAUGAAGAUGCAAAGGGUUUGAAGACUCUAAACUCUUCAUACUUUUUCACUUUCAUGGGUUUCAAUCGUCUUAUCUCAUCCACCAUUUUCGCUCCAAUAUUACAAUUUUUUUCCAUCACCCAUCACCCAAAAAGCUUAGUUUGAACAUAAUCUUGGAGUUAUCUCAAAGUUUAUUUUUUAUUCAACAAGUUUAUUCAUGAGUAAACCAAAUAUUGGACUCAAGUAUCAAUUCAAUAUCAAUCAUGGUUGAGGCGGAUAUGACUCGAACAAGUUGUACUUGUCUCAACCGAGAUUAUGAACCCUAUUUGAGCUCUCUAUUUAUCUCUACAAUACCCAUUUUUGAAGGCUUACAAAAUAGUCCUACGAAGAUACAAGAUGAUGGAGAUGCAAAUACAAGGAUGAAAAUCCAAAGAGUUUGAAGACUCUGAACUCUCCAUAUUUUUUCACUUUCAUGAGUUUUGAUUUUCUUCUCUUAUCUGCCAUUUCCGCUCCAAUAUUACCAUUUUUUCCAUUACCCAUCACUUGAAGAGCUUAGUUUGGACAUAAUAUUAAGGUUAUCUCAAAUUUUCUUUGUGAUUCAACAAGUUUAUUCAUAAGUCAGCCAAAUAUUGGACUUGGGUAUCUGUUCGAUACUAGUCAUAUAUGGUAGAGGCGGAUAUGACUCAACCAAGUUGUACUAGUCUCAACUAAGAUUUUGAACCCUAUUUGAGCUCUCUAUUUCUCUGUACAAUACCCAUUUUAAAGGCUCACAAAAUAGCCCUACCAAGAUACAAGAUAAUGAAGAUGCAAAUAUUACUCAUUGAAUAUCUAGCAAUAAUUGGUUUAUUUUUUAUUUUUGAAUUAUUUUUUAAAAUUAAAUAUCUAUUAAUGAAACAAAAAUACUAAUGAUUAAUACCAAAAAGUGCUAUUUUGUAGAUCUAAUUAUAAUGGUUUUAAGCACCUUUGAGUAGUAAUCAUAUUCAUUUAACCCAAUUAAUUCAUUAAGGUCCUUAGUAAUUGGUUUUAACCAUUUUGUGGCAAGUUUACAUGUUUUUAUCAGCUUAUGAAUCAAUUCAAGCAUGCCAAAUGAUGGAGGAGCUACUUAGACAAGUUAAAGCAAGGAUUUUGGAAGUUUACAGGCUUGAAUUUCAAGUGGAAACACGAGCACAAGCAAUGGAGAAGAGGAAAACAGAGUGAAGAAAACAGAGGACAGCAGCUGCAGUCUUCUUUUGCACUUUUGGAGCACUUCCCGAAGUCCAUUUUCUACAUUCUAUAUACCAUUUCAAAGCUCAGGAAGUCAAUAAUCCAAUGCUUCAAACGGUGCGUGAUUCGGAGUUGAAACGAAGGAGUUACAGCCAUUGCAAUCAGAUCACUCCAAGCUGCUGCGAAAUCAGCCUUUUGUUGCGAGAAUUUCGCAGCCUUUUUGUACAGUGCAAUGGAAUUCCUCCUGAAGCUACCCGAUAUAUGCUGCAAGCUGGAAUGCUGAGAACCUCAAGGUGGAAGCCAACUUCGCAGCCCUGCGAAGAUAGCUUGGUGUUGCGAAAUUAUUUCGCAACCCUCUUGAGUGUCUGCGAAAUCUCGCAGACCUCGUUUUCACCUGCGAAAUGUCCUUAGUGCUUCCUGAUAUUUGUGCACCGACUCUUUUGGAUAUUUUUCUUCAGAUAUUUUUGUAUAAAUUUCCAUUUUCUCCUUGUUUUCAGCCACUCAUGUAAUUCCUUAGCUAGGAAGUNNNNNNNNNNNNNNNNNNNNNNNNNNNNNNNNNNNNNNNNNNNNNNNNNNNNNNNNNNNNNNNNNNNNNNNNNNNNNNNNNNNNNNNNNNNNNNNNNNNNGAGAGAGAUUUAGUGUUUGAACCCAUUAAUGGGAAGCAUCUGUACAACACCGGUUGGAGAAGGAACUAUAGGUUAAUUCUCUAAGGCGAGGAAAAAAAACAAGUGACCGGAACUCCCUUUUUGUAUGAGGAACCUGAGCCUAGUGAUCUGAACUCCAAGAAACACUUUUCUUUGUAAGUAAAAUCAGUUACUAUUUUUGGUUAGCUUAAAACCAAACCUUUUUCAUUCAAACAUCUUUAUGUUUUCUUAAGCUAACCUUGAAAUGAAAAGGCACCAAUUCAGCUUUGAAUUAAUAUCAUUUGUGAAGUGAAAACCCAUCCCAGUGGACGAUCCUAGAGCCACUAUGCUAUAGUAGCUUUGUCUUUGCUACCCUAGUAUAUGGUGUAAUAGGUUAUAAAUUUUGUUGAUUACUCCCUCAAUCAAGGAGCACCAGCUGGACACGAAUCAGCUGAGACACCAAUUGGGCACGAAUCAACUAACUCUUUCUUGAUUUUCUUCUCUCAUCCACCAUAUCCGCUCCAAUAUUGCCAUUUUUUCCAUCACCCAUCACCCUAAGAGCUUAGUUUGGAUAUAAUCUUAGGGUUAUCUCAAAGUUUCUUUUUUAUUCAACAAGUUUAUUCAUGAGUUAACCAAAUAUUGGACUCGGGUAUUAGUUCGGUACCGGUCAUGGCCAAGGUGAAUAUGACUUGGCCGAGUCAUACCAGUCUCAAUUGAGAUUUUGAACCUUGUUUGAACUCUCUAUUUCUUUGCACAAUACCCAUUUUUUAAGGCUAACAAAAUACCCUAACAAAGAUACAAGAGGAUUGAGAUGCAAAUAUAGGAAUGAAGAUGAAAAGGGUUUGAAGAGUCUAAACUCUUCAUACUUUUCCACUUUCAUGGGUUUCAAUCUUCUUCUCUCAUCCACCAUUUUUGCUCUGGUAUUACUAUUUUUUUUCCAUCACCCAUCAUCCAAAAAGCUUAGUUUGGACAUAAUCUUGGAGUUAUCUCAAAGUUUCUUUUUUUAUUCAACAAAUUUAUUCAUGAGUCAACCAAAUAUUGGACUAGAGUAUCGAUCCGAUACUGAUAAUGGCUGAGGCGGAUAUGACACGAUCAAGUCGUACGAGUCUUAACCGAGAUUAUGAACCCUGUUUGAGUUCUCUAUUUCUAUACACAAUACCCAUAUUUGAAGGCUCACAAAAUAGUCCUACGAAGAUACAAGAUGAUGGAGAUGCAAACACAUGGAUGAAAAUCCAAAGCGUUUGAAGGCUCUGAACUCUCCAUAUUUCUUCGCUUUCAUGGGUUUCGAUCUUUUUCUCUCAUCCACCAUUUUCGCUCCAAUAUUACCAUUUUUUCCAUUACCCAUCACGCAAAGAGCUUAGUUUGGACAUAAUAUUAUGGUUAUCUCAAAUUUUCUUCAUGAUNNNNNNNNNNNNNNNNNNNNNNNNNNNNNNNNNNNNNNNNNNNNNNNNNNNNNNNNNNNNNNNNNNNNNNNNNNNNNNNNNNNNNNNNNNNNNNNNNNNNAAGAGCUUAGUUUGGACAUAAUAUUAUGGUUAUCUCAAAUUUUCUUCAUGAUUCAACAAAUUUAUUCACAAGUCAACCAAAUAUUGGACUUGGGUAUCAGUCCGAUACUAGUCAUGGUGGAGGCAGAUAUGACUCGGUUGAGUCGUACCAAUCUCGACUAAGAUUGUGAACCCUGUUUGAACUCUCUAUUUCUUUGUACAAUAUCCAUUUUGAAGGCUCACAAAAUAGCCCUACCAAGAUACAAGACGAUGGGGAUGCAAAUAUUACUCCUUGAAUUACUGGCAAUAAUUAGUUUAUUUUUUUAAUUUUGAACUAUUUUUUAAAAUUAAAUAUUUGUUAAUGAAACAAAAGCACUAACUCUUUCUUGAUUUGGAGUUUAUUUGUUGAAUGAAAAUUUUUGGAUAAUUAUGGUUUUGCGCAUAAGAGAAAUAAUGAACCAAUUGUUGUUCAUAAAUUCAUAAAAUUGGAUUAGCAUUUGAGUUUCAAAUUAUUUUUAAAAGUGCUUACAUUCAUUAAUGAAUCUAAUACACUAAGUUCCUCUUUGGGAUGAAUUUUGAAUGAGGCUAAAAGCUUUUCCUAACACUAGAAAGCAAUCUUAAAAAAAUGGUUGAAAAUCACUUUUAAAAAUCUAAAUAAUGACAUGAUUCUUCGAACUAUCACAUUUUUGUUAUAUUAUACAUUGCCAAAACAUUCUCUGAACAUAUUUUAAAAAAAAUUUAUAAUAUGCAUUUCCUACAAAGCAAUCUUAAAAAUAUAUAUAUAUAUAUAUCAUCAAUAAUUAGAUUAUGGUGUGAUAGUGAUUUUAGCAAUUGUUUUUAGCCUUUUUAAUACUUUAAAAAUAACAGCAGUGAAUUUAGGAAACGUUUCUAGCUUUUUUAACGCUUGAAUGAUAUAAAUUUUCAAGUAUUAGAAAAGUUAAAAAUGUUUCCUAAAAUCACUACUAAACAGGCUUUAAUCAGUAGUAGUAAUUAAUUGGUAUUGAAUAACUGUAAUGCAGUUUCCUGAAUGUAGUAUUGAGGGAGAGAGAAACAGAGAGGAAGAGAGAGAUGCUUAACAAACAAAUUGCUUUAUUGUAGUAAUAUGCCCAAAGUUCACACCAGAAGAGUUACAACUAGACCCUCUUAUCAUACUAGGAUUGUUAUAACGAGGGAAUUGAACAUCAUAAAUAGUCAUUCAAGCAAGGAAAUGAAAGGUUGAUAGCUUCUUCUUUUUCUAUAUUCCCCCACUAGAAUCGUGCUUGAAGGUAUUCAACCACCUUCUUGUCCAACUGGAAGGCCCUUGCAAGGAAAUCAGGAUUGAUGGGUGGAUUUGAUCCAAACACUGCAUUGGCUAUGGUGAUUACACCUGGAUUUUGGCUGUUCAGACCAGCAAUGGCUACUGCAUUAGUGUGCCCAAUGUUGAAUUGGAAGUGAAUGAGACCGAUAGGGAACACAAAAACAUCCCCUUUGUUGAGGACUUUGCUAAUGAAUCGGUUUUGAGGGUUGGAUGUGACAAAGCCAACUAAGAGUGUUCCCUCCAAAACAGUGAGGAUCUCACUGGCACGGGGGUGAAUGUGAGGAGGGUUUUGACCAUAGGGUGCAUAAUUGAUACGAACCAGUGAUAUCCCAAGAGUGUUUUGUCCCGGUAGUACAUCAACAUUUAUAAUAGUGACAUUUGAGCCCACUAGAUUUGCUGUGUUUCCUGGAAUAUUCAGCCCUUGAUACAAGAAAUCGUCAGCCACGGUCAGGUUUGGGUUCUUGCAGAACUUUCCAUUUACAAAUAC